rnacentral:lncRNA from 1 species
GGGGGGGGGGUGAUGGUCCUAUGCAACUAUACAAGUUGGCAAAUAGUACGAAUGCAGAAGCUAAACUUGCAAAAAAAUAGUGGUAAAGUUUUGAAGAGGGUGCAUAUAAUACACCGUAACACAUGCAACUUUGAGGGUGAGUGGAUUGAUGUGGACCACCUCAUCAGAAAUUGGGCAACAUUGAGGACCAAACUUGGGAAAACAUUUCUUUCUGCCGUCUGAUAAUGCUCACGCACAAGCCGCCUCCCCCGCCAGCCACAUGUCCAGGUCGGGGCAGAAAACAUAAAAUGCACGCGAAGCCAAACAGUCUGCUCUCCUUCCCAUGUGCUGCAUGCUACCAGAUUUUUUUCUGCGACGAAGACCUGGGUCAUUAAUGCAUUGCGGUGGUGUAGCACUACCUGGUAGUACGUACUGUGCUCAACAUUGUUUUCCUUUUCUUUUCUCACAAAGGAAACACAGUAAGUUGCUGCUGAUUGUCAUCACACCAUGGUAUACCUUUGUACUCGCGGUCGUAAAAACACACAUAAGAUUCUUCCGAGAUAAUCUAUCUCAAGUCGUUGCUGCAAGCCGGGAUGCAGCGCUGUAAGACCAAUGUUGUUGUUGCACUCCUGGUAUGCACUAUUGCCGCUACAAGCCGGUUUGCGAUGUGAUGUUGCAAGGUCGAAGUCGUCUCUUUUGCAACAUAGAUGUCGUCUUUGUUGCAAGAAAGACCCUUGGUGCAACAAUGACAGGUCAGCGUUGUUGCAAGUUGGGAAUCGACAUUGCAAGGUUGGUUUUGUUGAUGCUCAGUCACAAAUCAAGGUGCGGCGUUGCAAGGUCAACACCGACAUUGUUGCAAGCCGGAUUCGGCACUUCGAGGUUGCUACCCCUGAUGCUCUGGCAAAAACGGGGCGCGAUAUUGCUAGGCCGACACUGUCAUUGCUGCAAGUCAAGCGUGAUGUUGCAUGGCGGGUGCCGUGUUGUUGCAAAGGCNNNNNNNNNNNNNNNNNNNNNNNNNNNNNNNNNNNNNNNNNNNNNNNNNNNNNNNNNNNNNNNNNNNNNNNNNNNNNNNNNNNNNNNNNNNNNNNNNNNNNNNNNNNNNNNNNNUGUUGCAAAGGCUAGCCAUCACAAGUCGGGACAUGACGUUGCAAGGCCGACACAGUCGUCGACGCAACUCAGACGCGUUGUUGCAUGACGGGUGCUGAGUUUUUGCGAAGGAUAGUUGUCACAAGCUGGGGUACUAUGUUACAAGGUGGUUACUGUCGUUUUUGCAGGUCAGACACAAUGUUGCAUGGCGGGCAUCGAGUUGUUGCAAAGGCUAGCCGUCAGAAGUUAGAGCGUGACAUUGCCAGGCCAACACCACCGUUCCUACAAGUCAGGCAAAAUAUUGCCUGGCGGACAUCGUGUUGUUGCAAAGGCUAGCUGCCAAAGUCGGUGACAUGACGUUACAAGGCCAAUGCUGACAUUGCUACAAACUCAGACGUGAUACUGCAUGGUGGGCACCGAGUUGUUGCAAAGACUAGCUGCCACAAGUCUGUGCCACGAUGUUUCAAGGCCGACAAAUGUAGUUGUUGCAAGUCCUACAUGAUGUGGCGUGGCGGGUGUCAAUUUGUUGCAAAGACUAGCCGAGCACGACAUUGACAUGUUUGCACCGUCAUUAUUGCAAGUCAGACACGAUGUUGCUUGACGAGCGCCUUAUAGUUGCAAUGGCUUCGCACUGAACCAACACUACCACAACCCAGGACACGAUGUUGCGAGGCUGCACUACCAUUACAAGUCGGGAUGUGACGAUGCAAUCCUGGCGGCGCCUCUGGUGCGACGGUUGAUCCGACGUCGCAAGGCGGUGAUGCUAACACUGCAAGCGGGGAGCCCCGUUGCUACAAGCCGAACACACGGCGCUGCAAGGCUCCAUCGUUGCAAUGGAUGGCCUGUGUUGCAGCAAGUUGAGACGUGAUUCUAAAACGUUAGCUGCCACUGCUGCAAGCAGGGACCCACAAUAAGCUCGUCGUCUUGCUGCAAUGACGGUGCCACGAGUAAGAUGAUGCAUUCUUUUUUUUGUUGCAUUCGCUUCUAGGACAUCUCGCUGGCAUGGGUAGGCUCAUGGAACCGAGGACAUGAGCAUGCCACUUGCUAAUUGUGAUGUGAUUUUUUACCUGUGAUGUGAUCUUUUACCUGUGCUUCUUUCAUGUAAGACUAUUCAUACUGUAAUUGAGCUCAUUUGAUAUAUAUUUUGUCAACUAGUUGUUGUGAGAUUUUAAUUGAGCUAUUCAUGUUAUUAUUUUGCUAUAUUUUGUAUGACACUUGCAUUAGGUAGAAAAAAAUUAGAGUGUGCACACCCUUCAUUUUAUUACUGGGUCCGCCAUCCCCAAGCUGGGUCAUAUGAUGUUCUGUGAAGAUUGCUGCAUGCGACAUAGUAGGUUAAACUAGUCCGUUGGGGCCCACCACACAUGUGAUGUGUGAAAGUAGUAGCAAGCCCGUCGCCAACGCCCACUGAGGCCACACCCACGCAAAGAGAAGAAUUAAUAGCGGGAGCUCAGGUGCAUCAUGCGGCUGACACAACAUGCUGAUGGACUGAUCGGGUGGCUAGCGACGGGGCUGAUCCGACACGCGCAUUAGCCGGUUGAUUUGUAGCAGUGCCUCAAAACUUGUGUGGCAGUAGGCUCGGUGAGCUCAUCCUUUAUUGCCAGGGGGUUAUACCAAAGUAGAGCGUGUGGUGGCAUUGCCUAGUCUUAGGCAUGUCCAUAUAUAACUUUUUUGUUCUAUCGAUGCAUAGAGAUGUAAAGUUGUUUAGUUUUGUGUGUGUGGAAAAAGCAAGAAAACAUAUUCGCACAAUGUUUGUUUUGAGAGAAAUACGAUACCUGAAACAUGGAUGCUUUUAUCAACUAUAGAAGUAACUGCUUGGCGGUAUCAUAUUACCGUUGUCUCCGUUAAUUGGCCAUAAUUCCUUUGUAAAAGAUGAGAACUUCAGUGCAACAUUCAAAUAGAACCAAAAGCCACGGAAUGUUGUGAGCUCUGAAUCUUUUGGGCCUUUAUGUUUUUCAAGUAAAUCCCAUCAAUAAGAAUACCAUUAGGAGCAUUUACUUCAAUAUAGGUGAGUUAUGUUGUCAAUUGUAAUUGUUCUUUGCUUUGGAAAUUCGUGUCUAUAUCAAUCACAGAAGAAAGCAAAUAUGGUGAACAUACGAUGACAUCCUGACAUCAUGUAAUUUGUUCAGCAUAGUAACUCCCUACUUCAUGGAGGAAGUAAAGUUUUCAGAUGAAGAGCUUUAUUCAGAUCAAGAUGAAGCAUCCAUCCUUUCCUACAUGCAGAAGAUAUAUCCAGGUUACUUAUGUUUCAUAUUUCUAUUUUCACCCUUUUUUGUUGCAAUUGCUUUCGUCAGUUAUAUUUGUUACUAAGACUCCACAUUCUCAUUUUUUAGAUGAAUGGACAAAUUUCUUGGAAAGGCUUGGUACAAAGGUAAAAAGUGAAGACAUCAGAUAUUGGGCCUCUUUCCGUGGUCAAACACUAAGUCGAACCGGUAAUAUGGACUAUUAAUAUUUUCUUUUUGGUAAACUAUCACUGAAGUCCCUGCCUACUGGCUGUCUCACUCUCUCCAUUAUGUACUAUUCAGUUAGGGGAAUGAUGUAUUACAGAAAGGCAUUGAGACUACAAGCUUUUUUAGACAGGACAAAUGACCAAGGUGAGCAUAGAAACUUACAACUUAUCUUAUUCUUCCAACCUGUCAUCAUUUCCUUUUGAUGCUUGAUUUCCAAAAUGAGUGAAAUUUUAAGCUAACUAGAUUGUGAUAACCGUGAUGAUUAUGUAGUUCUCGUUUUCAUAUUUAUAUGGAAACUGGUAUGCUUCCAAAUAUUAAUCCUUUUAAAUGAGCAGAGUUAUAUAAAGGACCUGUGGGGACAGAGCGAGAACAAAAUAAGAGAAACAUCCACCAGUCAUUAUCAACUGAACUAGACGCCCUUGCGGAUAUGAAAUUUUCAUAUGUCAUCUCAUGUCAAAAGUUUGGGGAACAAAAAUCUAAUGGUGAUGCACAUUCUAAAGACAUUAUUGAUCUGAUGUCAAGGUACACUUUGAAAAAUAUAAAUUUGUAGAGUAAUUAUUAUCUCUCAAAUUGUGUUGAUAUUUCUUGUGUUCUCAAUGAAGGUAUCCAGCUCUUCGUGUCGCCUACGUCGAGGAGAAGGAAAUUAUAGUACAAAAUAUGCCUCAUAAGGUUUAUUCCUCGGUUUUAAUAAAAGCAGAAAAUAACUUAGACCAGGUAAUGAUCUUAGUUUAAGAAUAAAAUUAGAAAUUUUUGUACUGUUUUUAUAUUUAAGCCUCUAAAUAUUGUUGUAUUAAUCAUCUUUUCCAUUUUAUCAGUUAUUUUUUCAUGCCAAUUUUUUAUUUGUUCAACUAUCUUUUGUUAAGCAUGACAUGCAUAACCAUAAUAUACUUUCUCAUAGAAAUGCUCUUGCUUGUUGAUUAUCUACAUAGGAGAUUUACCGUAUAAAGCUACCUGGCCCACCCAUUAUUGGAGAAGGGAAGCCUGAAAAUCAAAACCAUGCAAUUAUAUUCACCCGUGGAGAGGCUCUACAAACGAUUGAUAUGAAUCAAGUAAUAAGUUGAACAUUCUUCUAUAGCUUGUCUCCAUAAAAUAUUUUCUUUCCACUUAUUUGCGGUGCUAUCAGGACAACUAUUUGGAAGAAGCUUACAAAAUGAGAAAUGUACUUCAAGAGUUUGUUAGGAAUCCUAGGGACCAAGCUCCAACCAUCCUUGGGCUUAGAGAGCAUAUUUUCACAGGAAGGUUUGUAGUUUUCCUGAAAUGGCUUUUAAACAUAUAACGUCUUUUGGAUAAUAUGAGAUUAUUGUUUGUGCAGUGUUUCAUCACUUGCUGGAUUCAUGUCAUACCAAGAGACAAGCUUCGUCACAAUUGGACAGAGAUUCCUUGCUGACCCCCUUAGGUGAAAACAUGUUUCUUAUUUGAUCUUAGUGUUAGCGAUGAUGCCAUGAACACAUUACUUAUGUGCUAAGAUUUUUAUCCGUGCUAAAACUUAUGUUAGAUAUAUGUAUUUUUUUCUAAAGAAUUUAGUGUAUUUGUCUAUCUUCAUUCUGUAAAGUCCAUCUGUUGUCUAAAUUAUCUUUUCCACGGCUGCAGGGUACGGUUUCACUAUGGCCAUCCAGACAUUUUCGACCGGAUGUUUCAUUUAACAAGGGGCGGCAUAAGCAAAGCAUCUAAAACUAUCAACUUAAGUGAGGAUGUGUUUGCUGGUAAGUUAAUAUUUUCCUUCAGAAACUAGAUUGUUAUGUCAUUUUCAGAGGGUUUCAUAUUUAAUAUUAACUCUACAGGGUAUAAUUCCAUUUUGCGUCGUGGACAUAUAACUUACAAUGAGUACAUUCAAGUUGGCAAAGGGCGUGAUGUUGGACUUAAUCAGAUAUCAAAAUUCGAAGCUAAAGUUGCAAAUGGCAACAGUGAACAAACCCUCAGCCGUGAUAUCUACCGGUUAGGGCGGCGUUUCGAUUUUUUCAGGAUGCUUUCAUGCUAUUUCACAACAGUGGGAUUUUACUUCAACAGCCUAGUAUGCCCCUCCCCCCCCNGACGUGCAUGCUUGCAAGUCUGUCUCCACAUGUACACUAUGAUGCCCAGAAGCAUUGCAGCUAGAACAAUAAUGUAUGGCAAUUCCUGAGAAAUUACAAAAAAUGUGAAAAGAAAGAUGAGCAAGAACCAUUGAAGUAGAAUAAUAGAAGAAAAAAGAAUAUUGCUUCCUGCCAUUUAAGCCUUAUCUUUUGCUGACAAUCUUUGGUUCAAACCUUAAAUAUGAUGUAAAAAAUGUUUAUCUAAGUUUAGGUCAUGGACGACAUAUCCAACAGUUAGAUGUAGCAGAGAUGCGCAUGUUGAGAUGGAUAUGUGGCCACACAAGGAAGGAUCGGGUACGGAAUGACGAUAUACGAGAGAGACUUGGGGUAGCACCGAUUGAAGAGAAGCUGGUCCAGCAUCGUCUCAGAUGGUUUGGACAUAUUCAACGGAGGCCAUCGGAAGCGCCGGUGCGUAGCGGACGGAUAAAGCGUGCUGAGAAUGUGAAGAGGGGUCGUGGUAGACCAAACUUGACAUGGGAGGAGUCCGUUAAGAGAGACCUGAAGGUUUGGAAUAUCGACAAAGACUUAGCCAUAGACAGGGGUGCGUGGAAGUUAGCUAUCCACGUUCCAGAGUCAUGACUUGGCUUCGAGAUCUUAUGGGUUUCAACUCUAGCCUACCCCAACUUGUUUGGGACUGAAAGGCUUGGUGGUUGUUGUUGUUGUUGUAAGUUUAGGUCAUGGAUUCCAGUAAAAUCAAUGUUUGUCCUAAGACCUGCCGGCUUGAUCUUUAGAAAAUUGGCAGUUUAAACUGAACUGCUUCCAAGAUUGAUUUAGUAAUUAUUGGCCAGACCAAGCUUCACUUUUCUUUUUCCAGAGAUAUACCAAUAGUCUGUUUUAUGUUGGUUAUCCUUGUUUCAACCAGGUGUGAAAGUUUCACCAGUUAGGGAGCCCUAGAACAGGCCACAAUGCAAAUACACGAUGCGGGCUUCAUGCCACAUAUAUCAUUGGAUAACCAGACAUGCUAUUUCUCAAAACAAAUGCUGAUAGACCAAUCCAGCCUCAUGUAAAGGGCAAAUUGUACUUGAAGUAAACUAGGAGGUUCAACCGUGAAUUUUGAACGAAUCAAUUUGCUACGAUCUUUAUAUAUAUUUUUAUUAACGUUUGAUUUUGAAUAUGAAUAAUAUUACCUUUUAAGUUUUUGCACGUUCCUGCCUACAGAUCAGGAAAAGUCAUACUCAUUGAAAUUUUGUAGGUUAAUCAUAUGACUUUUCUGUACUUAUAUUGUAAUAAUGAUCCAUGUGGCCCAUCGGAAUACUAAUAUUUUUCUUUUCUUUACAUACACAUUUUUAAGUGACCCGUCACAUAUAAUAUUUUGUGUGAAUACAAUCUUUGAGCUUAUCACCAACAGCGAUUCUUAUUGUUUCAAUGGAUUCAUAUCUUGUGCAGAUAUCAGUUGUAGGUGUUUAUGUUUUCCUAUAUGGACAACUAUACUUGGUUCUCAGUGGAUUACAGAGUGCUCUGUUGAUUAAAGCUCAUCACCAGAAUAUGAAGUCCUUAGAAACAGCCCUUGCAUCUCAAUCUUUUCUUCAGUUGGGACUGCUCACAGGAUUACCUAUGGUGAUGGAGCUAGGGUUGGAGAAGGGUUUCAGAGCAGCUUUGAGUGACUUCAUCCUCAUGCAACUGCAGGUUGCUUCAGUUUUUUUCACAUUCUCUCUUGGAACGAAAGCUCACUACUAUGGACGUACUAUUCUUCAUGGUGGCGCUAAAUAUCGACCAACAGGGCGUAAAUUUGUAGUUUUUCAUGCGAGCUUUACAGAAAACUAUCAGUUGUACUCCCGGAGUCACUUUGUCAAAGCAUUUGAGCUGCUCUUUCUUUUGAUAAUCUACCACAUAUUUAAGAAAUCCGAUGGAAAGUUUCAUGUGAUGGUCACGUAUUCAACAUGGUUUAUGGCAAUGACUUGGCUGUUCGCACCUUUUCUUUUCAAUCCAGCUGGUUUUGCUUGGCACAAGAUUGUUGACGACUGGGCAGAUUGGAAUAGAUGGAUGAUGAACCAAGGGGGAAUAGGUGUGCAACCAGAAAAGAGUUGGGAGUCAUGGUGGAAUGCUGAGAAUGCGCAUCUCCGUUACUCAGUGUUGAGUUCUAGGAUUAUUGAAGUAUUGCUCUGUUUACGGUUCUUUGUUUAUCAGUAUGGACUUGUCUAUCAUCUCAAGAUAUCUCGUGAUAACAAAAAUUUUCUUGUGUACUUGCUUUCUUGGGUUGUGAUAAUUUCCAUUGUUGGGCUGGUCAAGGUAUAUGCUUUGUCCUGAAUAUGUCUUUGUUUCUGCCAAUUGUGAUCCUUCAUGUUAUACUGAUUUCUUUUUCUGAAAUUUCUGCAGCUUGUUAAUUGUGCUAGUCGUCAGUUGAGCUCAAAGCACCAACUCAUCUUCAGGUUCAUAAAGUUGUUGACAUUCCUGGCAGUGGUGACUUCCUUUAUCCUUCUAUCUUGCCUGUGCAAACUAUCCAUCAUGGACUUGAUCGUCUGUUGCCUUGCAUUCAUACCAACUGGUUGGGGCCUCCUCCUUGUAAGUAUCAAUAGUGCACUCUACCAAUUGUACAAUAUUAUUUUCCGCAACUGCUCUAAUUCCUCCCUUACUACACAGAUUGUUCAGGUUUUGAGGCCAAAAAUAGAAUACUAUGCAAUAUGGGAGCCUAUUCAGGUCAUCGCUCAUGCUUAUGACUAUGGAAUGGGUACGCUGCUAUUUUUUCCAAUUGCUGUACUAGCAUGGAUGCCUAUUAUCUCGGCUAUCCAAACUCGGGUUCUUUUCAAUAGAGCGUUUUCACGGCAACUGCAGAUCCAACCUUUUAUUAUUGGUAAAACUAAACGAAGGUAACUGAUGGUUGCAUGCGGAUGAGAACUGAAUUUGUGAAUAUGAUGUAUUGGUUGGUCAGGAUGAUAAUAAGCCUCUGUAUUCUGGUGUAAAUAUAUUUUUUGGUCCAUGUCGUUGACCAACCUAACAGCUCAGUUUUGAUGUAGACUUACGUUGUAUCCCCAGUACCAUUCAUGUAAUACCAAAACGUUAUACUUUUUGUUAUUUCUUAGAAAAAGUGGAACUGUUGUACUAUUGCUGUUGGACAAAUCAUGUUGGAUUCUAGAAUGUAUAUAUUAGAGGAACAUGGGUCCCUUUUUACUUUUCCUUUUCCAAAAUGGGCCUAUUUCUUGGAAAAGUGAAGUGUUCUCGCUGUUUACCUGUGUCCAUUGACAAGUUUCUAGGAGCACCGUUCUUAGUUUCAAGUGAAAUGCACUUGCGGUACAUUAACUUUUCAUGUGUAUUCACAUUCUAGCCCACAAACUGGCAACUUAGAAUUUUGUAAAGCUAAACCCGUCUCACUUUUGGUUCGACCCGAAAUGAAGCCACGUGGGAUGAAAUAUGUGGUGUGCUGAGUUGGCAGAGGAAGCCAUUUUGGUUUCAUGCGAAGGUCGACCAUAGAAGCCAUUUGCUUGGUACGACAACUUACGGAGAGAUAUAAGGAGCGAAAGAAGGACAUGCAUAUGGUGUUCAUUGACUUUGAGAAAGCCUAUGGUAAGAUACCGUGGAAUGUCAUGUGAUGGACCUUGGAGGAACACAAAGUCUUAGCAAAGUACAUUACCCUCAUCAAGGACAUGUAUGAUAAUGUUGUGACAAGUGUUUGAACAAGUGAUGGCGACACUCAUGAUUUCCCGAUUAAGAUAUGACUGCAUCAGGGGUCAGCUUUGAGCCCUUAUCUUUUUGCCUUGAUGAUGGAUGAGGUCACAUGGAUAUACAAGGAGAUAUCCCAUGUUGUAUACUCUUUGCGAAUGAUGUGGUGCUAGUCGAUGAUAGUCGAACGGGGGUCAACAAGAAGUUGGAGUUAUGGAGACAAACCUUGGAAUCGAAAGGUUUUAGACUCAGUAGGACUAAAACCGAGUACAUGAGGUGCGCUUUCAGUACUGCUAGGCACGAGGAUGAGGAGGAUGUUAGCCUUGAUGGGAAGGUGGUGCCUCAUAAGGACACCUUUCGAUAUUUUGGGUCAAUGUUACAGAAGGAUGGGGAUAUCGAUGAGGAUGUGAACCAUCGAAUUAAAGCUGGAUGGAUGAAGUGGCUCCAAGCUUCUGGCAUCCUCUAUGACAAGAGAGUGCCACGAAAGCUAAAAGGCAAGUUCUAUAGGACGACGGUUCGACUCGCAAUAUUGUAUGGCGCUGAGUAUUGGUCAACUAAUAGAGACACGUGCAACAAUUAGGUGUGAAGGAGAUGCACAUGUUGAGAUGGAUGUGUGGUCACACAAGAAAUGACCGAAUCCGGAAUGAUGAUAUACGUGAUAGAGUUGGGGUAGUGCCGAAAGAGCAGUGGAGGUUGUCCCCUCCCUUCAAUCGAGUUGUGGUCACUCUCGUGGCCAUUAUCUCCUUUCCCCUCCAGGCCUCAUGUUGGCCGCUCCAGAGAGACGGCGAGGAUGGACCGGUAACCAUGGUGUCAUAGGUUGGUGGAUGGAUGAGUGGGUGGUGCAUUACGAAGUGUCUGGGUGGCGGUGGUGAUUGUGGAUCAGGAGAAAUCCAUGGCGGCUUGCCCGACACCGACACAGUGACACCCGCGGGCAUCGCUGGACCUUCCCGAAGGGCGUCGGGUAUAUCCCUCCUCCACUGCCCUCCACGUACCGGGAAAACCCUAGGACUUGUUUGGGCAACAUCGGCGGUGGCGUCAGAUUCCGUCUUGAAGGUGUUGUUUGGCGUGCAAUGCUUCAGAAUGUUGGGGACGCGGCGGUACUUCUCUGAUGGGUGCAACGAUUGCUGAUCUUCUUCUCUUCGUCAAUCUGCUAGUGUCGGCAUUUGUUUCUCUUUCAUUUUAUUUGUUUUUUCUUUUGGUCUUGUUUAUGCCGCGGCCCCAACGUGUUGGUUGUAUCGGAUGGUUGCUUUAUAAUAUAAAGCAGGGGGAACCCUUUGUCGUCAUGGGCAAUACCUUGAUUCACUGCAGCGUAGUAUCACCAAAUAAUGUCUAUGAGCUACGCGGUAAGGAGCGGAUGAUUGUAUUUAAAGUGCAUAGAUUUUUUGAUGAUUAAUGUCGAGGCAAUUAAGAGGACUAAUAUUUUAUUAAGUUUAUCUUAGGAACUUAGUCCAUGUUGAUGAGUGGAAACAUCAUUGGUGACCUCUAACUUUUAUACUAACUCAGGUGGUUUGCCCUUUGGUUUCGUAGCAUGUACCCUAUAGGUUUUUAGUGGAUCCGAGAUUCACAUUGAGUUUGAGGACAAUAGUACUAUCAAAAGGGGUGCAUGCAAAUUAACUAGGGAUGUAGUUAAUCUCAAGAUCCUGAACUAAGUCCCUGAGUUUUCCAUCCUCCAGUUCAUGAAUCUUACAACAUUCCCAAUACCUGUCAGUAUUUCUACCAAACACUACAGAUCAUGUAAAUGUGAGUAUUUCUGCUAAGAAAACCAUGUUCCCCAGUUUGCCUUGAACCAUUGGGAUUGUUUCACUAGUGGGACAGGGCCUAUAGUCCCGGCCCGUAAGGGCCUUUAGUCCCGGUUCACCAACCGGGACCAAAGGGGCGGGACUAAAGGCCUAACCUUUAGUCCCGACCCUAUUCCAAGCCGGGACCAAAGGUGCUCCACGUGGGCGCCUCGGAGCGCCCUCAGGGGCAGGCCCUUUAGUUCCGGGUCUUAACACGGACCGGGACUAAAGAGUUUCUGCAGAUUUUGUUUAUUUUAGGGUUUUAGGGUUUAGGUGUUCGGGAGAUUAACGUGAUGCCUCGUUUGGUGUUCGGGAAUUAGUUUUCAUAUAAUUCUAAAUAUACAUGUUUAUGCAUAUAUAUAAGAUUAACUUAUCUUACAAGCGAGCAUAUAUAUACAAUUAUAUGGAGAUCUGAAUUAUCGGGACUAGAGCCCGUCUAUUCGAUUACAUGGACCAACAUCAGUAAUGGCCCCUAGCUACACUAAAUCGUCCUUUGUCAUCUAUAGCUUCCGUCCUCAGAAAGGUCGCAAGCUCCUCUGCAACAGCAAUCGCGCGUUGCUCUGGUAGGGACUUCUCCCUCAUGGCCGUGUACUAUAUAAGAAGAGGAGAUGAAUAUGAAUAUCAAUCAUGAUAACAAAGAAUGACGGGUAAAAAUAGAGGUGUGAAUGUUCAUUGCUUACGUCGUAUCUGUGAUCCUUGUGCUCAGAGGUAAACGUGCGAAUGGUCUCGCAAACAUAGUAUCCGCAUAGAUGCGUCCCCCGUGGUUGCUGGUCGCACUUUACGAGAAUAGAAUAUAUAUAAUCAAAAUAAUAAUCUAGCAUCAUAAAUGUAUUGAAAAUAGAAGUAUAUCAUACUACUACUUACCUGAGCCGCUCUAAAGGUCAGCUUCUCAGGCUCGAUACCGGGAGUCACGCACUUGAACCGCUUCCAAACCCUGCCCGACAAGGAAAAUGAUUUGCUAAGUUUUUCAUUAAUUGAUAUAUCAGAAAAUCAUCGAAAGAGACCGAUAGAGCGCAAGAAUGAUUGAAAUUACCCUUGGAGCAUGUCCUGCAGGCUUUGGAACUGUUCCAAGGGUCUCGAUAAUGGGUCGAAGGCAUCAACUCUUCCCUUAUCAAUUUGAAUGUCCAACAGAAUCCAAUGGAAGCUGCACAUAUAUAUAUAUAUAUAUGUGUGUGUCAGUAACUUAUCAAUUACACUUAUAAGUGAAUGGACACAACAGAGUAAAGACCCUCACUUGAAGUUGUAUGGAAACAGUAUGUGGUCACAGAAAUUUUGAUCUGUUAGAAACCUUAGAAGGUUUUCCUCCGUCUCCUUGGGUUUAUCAGUUAGCGUCGCUAUAUGUAUUUUAUCUAGGUCAAUAAACCCAAUAUUUAGGAUGUUCCUGCUUUUACAUUCCAGAAUCUUCAUUCUGCAUAAUAGAGUACAAGUUAUAUGUAGACAAUGAAUUGAAAUAACUAAACAAGUUAUAUGUAGACAACGAAUUGAAAAACUUACAGACAAUAGCAACUCAUAAGCGAUUUGUCGAGGGCGUCGCAUUGUACAUCUGGAAGAGUUCAUCAAAGUCGAUAUGGAUUUCUUCGGGGCGGCCGUAGUACUCCGGUGGGACACUCGCCACGAUCAUCGUUCUCCCAUUCUUUGAUUCACUUAAGUACCAUGUAUGCAAGUAACGCAUAUUUGUUGGGAGAUCAUCUUUGCUGAACAAAGGCGCUCGCAUGACAAACUGUGGCUUAGGGGCUACCACAGCCUUGGGUAACCUGUCGUCUUGGGAAGCCAGAACGUCUUCAACCGGGAUACCCCAUUCAUCCGCCCACUUCUUUGCUAAUUCCAAAUCUUGCCCCUCCACCAGAGGGGGAACAUUCUCAGGUAACACCCUGAGGGGUGGGAUCGACUGUUUGGCCUGUUGUCCAAGCUGAGGAACGUCUGAUCUUUUUUUGCUUGUAGUUGAACUUGAUUUGCUCCCACUUGCACUUGCACGUGAUCUGCUCUUUUGCCCUUCCUUAUGCAAUGUGCGUGUAUAGUCAUCAGGCUUAUGGUGUAAGUCAUACUGCGAUGGAAGGGUCGUGAAGUAUUUUGCAUAUGCUAUUUGCUUCUCGGUGUAUUCCGGGCGGGGCUCAGGUUCCUUCUUUUUCAUCUGCGCAUCAUAAUGUUCCUUUGCUAUCCUGGCGUUUUCCUCGGCGGUACGAUCAUAAGGUCUGAUAGGAAGAUUAGCAUGAGGUACCUUUGGGAGGGGCGACAGUUUGCGCUUUGGAGAGCUCCGUCGCUUAGAAAUCAUCGACGGAGCAUUCUUGCUGGCACGCUUCCGCUUAGUAUCCGGAGCGGGCCGCGGCGGAGACGGACGACCCAAGUCCGGCGGUGGUGAUCGAGAUGGACUUGUGUUGUGCUGGCCGUCGUCAUGUGGAGGGCUUGGAGGUGAUGGAGGUGUAGGUGACCUACGACGACUCGGAGGCGGUGUUGUCCUUGGGGCCGAGCCUGGAUCUUCGCCCUGAUCGGCCAACUAUAGAGGUUGAGACAACUCGCCCCUGGAAUAUAGCCCACCUGCGGCCUUACUACACCUAGAGCCAUGGGCUCCUUUCUUUUCUGCAAACCUCAGAACUUGUAAUCUUUUAUUUAUAAAGCAAUAAAGCCGGCACCCACGAACUUUGGGGUCCUUUGCCGUUUCAGCUUCUGGAAAGCAUGAGUCUUUAUUGUUCUAUGAGUCGGCCAAGCAUGGACACUAUCAGUACCAAAGAGCAUAAGUCGCCACGCUACACUUGUUUCAAAACUGGCUACUGAUAAGCCAAAGAGGACCAAAGUUGCCACGUUGCACGGUUCAAACAUGGGCGCCUUAUAUAGUUUUGAGGAUAAAGCCGGCUUACUUGGGGGCUACUAGUUCCCAAGUCAUUUUGCAGUAAGAGCGUAAAACGCUUCUGCAAUCCUAUGUCCGACUUUUCCCUAACCAUAGGUCACUUGGGGGCUUCCACUCACUGAGUUCAGCCUGAAUACCCUCUUGGCUAGCGAAAAAUUACCGUAUUACAAAUGGUUAUACUGGACUAUGUGUUGGACGAGUCACUGUAUGGACCCAUGUACUCUUGGCGAGUCAAUCCGCUUUUUGGACCCUGAACUCGCCUUGGUUAAAACAUGAAAGGUACCGGCGAGAGCCACACAUGGAAAAUAGAGAAACCAUUGGUUCACUGAACCUGCUUCACUGAAGCCUGAAUCGCGCCUGAUCAGCCGGUCUAAAAACUUGGGCUAUUGCAAAAGCCUUCUUCGGGUAGCACUAGAGUUUUGCAAACUCAUCCUAUCCUGUCGUAGCUCAUCGAGCAGACAAAUUUUUACGACUAUCUUCGUGGCACUGCUGCAAGGUUUUGUAAAACUUUAUAUGACUCGCCGCAACUCACUGAGCCGGCUCCUUGUUUAUAACUUGCCAUGACUUAUUGAGUCGGCCUAUGGCGUUUUCUCCGUGAUAAACAGAUUGAAGUAGUUUUCUCUUGUUGACAUAUGACACUUCCUAAACUAUCAAGCAUCAAGAUUGGUAAAGGCGACUCUUGAUUCGCCUAAAGGAUAAACUAUUCAGCAAUGGCAAGCAAAAGGCAUGGAUGGAAGAUUGUUUCCCUAACAACUAUUACAUGGCUCACACGGCCAUACCGGGUAUCAUCUCCCGGUCAAGGAAAUAUCAAAUUGUUUUUCUAGCAACGACUACACCCUGGUUAGACUUAAGCCGCCUCCGGGUCGCCUUGCCUCGAGCUCUCUCUAUCUUCAAUUUGUAAGUCAUCGAGUUUCCAGUUGCACUUGGACAAGGCGACGAAUUCAUCUUCGUCAUUUAGAAAGACAGAUAAGCCUGCUUCAAAGUCGAAGGGAUUCUUGGGCCGACAAGGAGUCAGGCUGGUAAUUCGAAACGAAGGAGGAGUCACCUUUUGGUUAUUGUCGUCAUACGCAACCUGGUAUUUGUUCAAGUCCAAACUGGCCGCCAGCUGAGUCGCCACGACACGGGACUCUUUCACAACCCGGUGGUAAUCAUCUUCAGUAAACUCCGACUCAUCGUCCUUCAACUCAGGGUAACCAGCUGCUACUUCCUCUGGCUUGAGUUCACGGGCAUACGCCAGGCACCGGCUUAGGGUGGUCAGAGCUCCUUUGCGGGCGGCUGACCUCUUUAGCUCCUCUACUUGUGGUGGCAACGUUGACAAGCAGCCCAACAUAUUCUUAAUGGAUUUGAUUGGUUCCUUGUUGCCCAUUACUGCCUUCAUCGUCCGCAUGCUCCCUGUAUACACCUGCUCCGUAAAAGUGUAAAUCACCUUAAGCUUCAGGAUGCAGUCGUCUUGGAGAUUGGCGGCUCGUGGACCUACAAAGGAUAAAAAAAUGACAAUCAAGAUUUGGAAACUAACAUUAUGACUUCUCUUUUUGAACGAGGGAAUUGCUUCUUACCAAAGAUGGCUUGAGUCAUGUUGGAGACGUGCUUUUUUAGCCUGGAGAGCUCCUGUAGGGUGGCUUCUAACUUUGCCUCGGCUUUUCUGCCCGCUUGAGGAGGGCGGCUUGAUCAACAUUGGCUUUCCUCUCAAAAAAUUUAUGGUCGGCUUUCAUCUUCUCCAUGUCAGCCAGAGCCAACUGAUAUUUUUUGUCAGAUGCAGUCCGAGCAUCCCGCUAUUCAGCUAAGAUUUUCUUCAAGUCAGCGAGAGAUGACUCGGCCCGUGUCACAGAUUCCUGCAAACAAAUUUUGGGGAGACAAGUUUCAGAACUGUUGCAAGCAACAUCCCUGACACUUGGGCGCUAAUGUAUGAUUCUAUUCGAAGUCAUACAAAAUACAAGACCCGACUCAUCUUUCAAAAGAUGACCCGACCCUUGGGGGCUACAGGUUGAAGUUUUUAUCUAAUGCAAGACCCGGCACAUAUUUCAAAAGAUGACCUGGCCCUUGGGGGCUACAGGUUGAAGUUUUUAUCUAAUGCAAGACCCGACUCAUCUUUCAAAAGAUGACNNNNNNNNNNNNNNNNNNNNNNNNNNNNNNNNNNNNNNNNNNNNNNNNNNNNNNNNNNNNNNNNNNNNNNNNNNNNNNNNNNNNNNNNNNNNNNNNNNNNNNNNNNNNNNNNNNNNNNNNNNNNNNNNNNNNNNNACCCUUGGGGGCUACAAUUUGAAGUUUUUAUCUAAUGCAAGACCCGGCUCACAUUUCAAAAGAUGACCCGGCCCUUGGGGGCUACAGGUUGAAGUUUUUAUCUAAUGCAAGACCCGACUCAUCUUUCAAAAGAUGACUUGACCCUUGGGGGCUACAGGUUGAAGUUUUUAUGUAAUGCAAGACCUGGCUCAUCUUUCAAAAGAUGACCCGACCCUUGGGGGCUACAGGUUGAAGUUUUUAUCUAAUGCAAGACCCGACUCGUCUUUCAAAAGAUGACCNNNNNNNNNNNNNNNNNNNNNNNNNNNNNNNNNNNNNNNNNNNNNNNNNNNNNNNNNNNNNNNNNNNNNNNNNNNNNNNNNNNNNNNNNNNNNNNNNNNNNNNNNNNNNNNNNNNNNNNNNNNNNNNNNNNNNNNNNNNNACCCUUGGGGGCUACAAGUUGAAGUUUUUCUAUCAAUUCAAGACCCGACUAAUCUUUCAAAAAGAUGAGCCGGCCCUUGGGGGCUAUGGACAAAUAUGGGUCUACGAGAGAUUGCAACAAAUAUUAUUUCAUCAAGCAACACUAGUUUCCUGGAAGGCUAAUGGGUGGAAGAACACAUAAUAAAGGACGUACCUAAUGUUUGACUUUCAUCAUGUGGAUCAAGCUCUUAUCCAUUUCAUAACUCGUCUCCAGGCGACUUACGAAGCCAGAGCAGAGUUGGUCAAAUUCGGGCUUCUCAUAAUGGGGAAGCUUCAGCUUAGUGACAUCUUGUUCUGUGGAAGGAUGGGAUUCUUUUGAUGUGUGUUUGGAUAACACCGCCGCUGCAGGUUUGGAGUAACCAGUACUAGUGAUAAUUACAGUAUCUGGAUCUUCAGUCGCCUUGGAAGAACUCGGCGGGUUAACAUUGUUAGUAGUUUCCUUUAAAGAGCCUGGAGAGUCGAUCCGGAUGUCAAGAAUGUCAUUCGCAUGAUCAUCAUGAGCCGCCGCUUGCUCCUCAUCAAGCUCUGGGGAAGAGGUGCUAACGCCUAACACUUCAGUCGUCUUAGGAGCAGAAGACAAGUCGCCAGUUUUCUCUUCUUUGCUUGUGCUCUGAGAUAAGGACAUCAAAGUUAGAAAAAAUAUCAUUAUUGCAAGGGAAAAGUUUAAUAAAAUAACUUACCCUUGUACACGAAUCAUUGGCGGAAGAGCUGACAUCACUGAGUCACUAGAUGAAGGAGGAGAAACCUGAAAGAACAAAAGUUCAAAGAGCGAAUGAGUUGUGAAUCACAUUUUCUACAAGGAGGAGAGUGUGUUUAGCAAGAGUAUACCUCACUUGUGCGCUUCCAACCGGUUGUAUUUUCAGGUAACCCGGAAACUAAGUCGCCAGAGCGGCUCCGGGUUUUACGUUUGGGAGUAUAUUUCGCCUUCUUCAAAAGGAAAUCAGGGUCCAGAUAAGCAUUUGGGUGAGACAAGGGAACUUUUCCACAAAUCCGCCUGGCCGGCCUAGGAGAAGAGGAAAUUGAGUUGGAAGAAAUAGAAAUUACCUCGACCACGUCAUCUUGUCUCUCAUAGCCAUCGUCCUACGUACAAAGGUAACCGGACAUAAGCAUAAGUCGGAACAUAAUGAUGACAAACAAAAGGGUAAGUUUUUACCUCUGACUGUUCUUCGCCGGCUUGGGACUCGCCGACGAUGGAUGAAUCCUUGACGGUGGCUUUGCCCUUGCCCGUCUUUUUCUUCUUCUUCGGCGGCGGCUUAGUUGUUUUCUGGGCAGUCACCUUUGGCCUUCGAGAGAAAAAUAGAUCACCUUUCCGGUGGAUAGAAUCAAAAUUCAAACUUGGAAUGGUGGCACAUAUGUUGAAAAAUGUAGAAGGAGGCGACUUAGAAUGUUACCGGUGGAGCCGGGUUGGUGAGGCAGAAAGGCUUGAGUCCAACCUUGGCGCAGUUUUCCAAGGACUCGCCGGUUAGCUUCUUGAUUAUGUCAACAAUAUCUCUCUCGGGGAGUCUUUUAUGAUGAAAAUAUUGUGGAUGGUUCAUGCUGGCAUCGUAUUCGCACAUCAGACCAUUCCGGUGACUCAGAGGAAGAAUAUUCCACUCCACCCAGCAACAGAAUAGGUCCACCCCGGUGAGCCCAUUAUUAGUCAAAGACCGCAACUCGGAGAAGAUGGGGAUGAAUUCUGAUUCUUCUUCUUCGGUAAGCUUCUCUGGCAGCUUGAAGUCCAUGGGUAAGCGAUCUUCUCUAUAACCCGGAAGUGGGUUCUCACCCGGAGGAGAAGUGUCACCGCAAUAAAACCAAGACUCGGCCCAACCUUUGGGAUGGCUGGGUAGGAGGACAGACGGAAACCCGCGUUCACGGCGCCGCUGGAUGUUGACCACCCCGAGUUCCAAGUUGGGCCCAUUGGAAAAUUCGGUCUGGCGGUUCAGGUGGAAGAAGUUCCAAAAUAAUGGAACCGUGGGCUCUGACAAAGAUUACUGAGGGAAUUGGGUCCCAGAUCCUGGGGGUGAACAUUGAGGAAAUGCAGAGCGUCUCUAAAGAACUUUGAUCCGGGCGGUUUGAAGCCUCGUUCAAGAUGAUCAAUGAAAAUAACUACUUCCCCCUCGGCAGGAUUGGGAAUCACCUCGCCUGGGGCGGCCCGCCAACCAAUGACUUCCUUACUAUCAAGAUGACCCGACUUGACAAAUUUAUCAACAAAGGGCGUCAUUAAUCUUGGUUGGUAGCCAAUCGCAUUUUGAGAUGCCAACCAUGACUACAAAAAAGAAGAAACAAGGCGGCUCAUUAAGGACCGUAAAACAUGGUAACUCGCCAGUUGGAGGUCUACCGUAUGUCUGUAAAGGCCCUAUGACUCACCAUUAGGUGACUAAGAACCUGGAUAUGAGGACAUUCUAACUCGCCAGUUGAGCGCUUUAUGGUAUGUCUACGAAUGUGUUAUGACUCGCCUUCCGGCGAUCAAAGGCGUAGCUUUGGCGAUGUUCUAACUCGCUGUAGUGGAAGAUGGCGAAUGGCGAUUCAGAAAAGAUUCUUUCCUUAGGGAUAUUCGUGGAGUGGGAUAAACAAGUUUCUAAAAACAAGCAAUGAAAUACGGAUCUACGGGUGGAUCAAAUUAAGGAGGUAAUGCUUAAACGAAGCCGCGAAGACUACAAAUGCCCGAAAGUGAUAGGGGUGUCUCAUGAAUCUAUGCAGUAAAUACAUCAAAAUGACCAACAGAUGUGGCGGUGCUACUAUGCUCUACUACUAUGAAGGAUCUAUCGGAAAUAUAGUUGAUGGAUCUAGAACGAGAAGGGGAUCAUCGUUGCAUUCUAGGGAUAAACUUAGACGAACAUGACAGCAAGGUCUAACCCUAAUGGUGGAAAAAUGCUUACCUGAGAAAGGAGGAUGAUCCCCGGAAGAGGAUGCGGAAGGUUUGCGACGGAUCUUGCUCCUUCGGUUAGCCUGCAGACGUCCGGGCUGUGAUGGCUGGCGGCGAAGCUUCGGGAAUGGCGGAGAGACAUGGGCGCUGGCGUGAGGAAGACGAAGGUCGAUGAAGGAGUCGAAGUGGGGGUAGGUGACGGUCCCCCACUCCCCCCCUGCGGUUAUUUAAAGGCCAGGUGCUGGAAUCGAGGAGGUAGGCGCGGGAAUAGAGGUGACAAACUGAAAAUUUGCAAUGAUGGCGCCUGGAGUUUUGGGAUAAAUAAAUGGCAGUGCGAAAGAUCCGUUCGGUGGUUGCUUCAUUAAGUCCCGAAAUUGAAGGGAUAAGGUGAUGUCAUCGAAAACUGCUUGGCGACUCAAACAAUUCAUGAUGGAUGGCGGCUUACCGUUCAUCAAAUGAUAGGAGUCAUACAAGUCGCCCCAAAAUGAGUGGAAGUUUAUUGGCGUGAAUAAAUUCAAGACAAUCUGGGGCCUAAUGUUGGGGGAUAUUACGUGCGUGUAACCCGCCCUAGCUGGGCCGGGUCACUAAAGGGGCUAAUCAUCCAUUGGUAAUACAAGCCUUGGCCCAAGGGCCCAGGAGCCGUAUGGCGGUUCAGGAGCUAUACAGAGGAUAGGCCACCAAGGAGGUUUCCAGUCUUGGAAAGCAUGGCGACUUAGAGAUAAGGAAUACCAAGAUCUGUAGCAUCGCUAGGACUCUUGUAAAUCCUAGGGCCUUGACCUGUAUAUAAAGGCGAGUUCCUGGGAAGAUAGGGCAAGUUUGAAAUCAUCGGGAGCUAGGUCAGGCGAGUUACGCCCUCCUUGUAAUCGAAACCAUCAUGAAUCUACACAAAGCAGGACGUAGGCUUUUACCUCCACACGAGGGGCCGAACCUGGGUAAAUCUGAGUCUCGCUUUCGCUCACGCCCUUUGAGUCGCCACCAAGGUGCGAUGGCUCCUUCAUUAAGUCCUUUCAUGAGGACAUCUGCCGUGACAAAACCAUGACACCUAGUGUCCACUAUGUUGUGAGACUGAUGUUACUAUGACUUUGCUAUGCUUAAUACUUGUCACUAGGGCCCGAGUGACAUGAUUUGAGGUCUGAACCUAUUAUGUUCUCAUGAAUAUGAGAGUGAUUUGGAUCCUAUCUUGUAAGUUAUAGUUACCUAUUACGUGUCUUGAUCUACAUACCCCGAGGUGACAAUAAUUGGGAUUCUUUCCGAUGAUUUCUAUAGCUUGAGGAGUUCAUGUAUUCACCAUGUGUUAAUGCUUUGUUCCGGUUCUCUAUUAAAAGGAGGCCUUAAUAUCCCUUAGUUUCCAAUAAGACACCACUGCCACGGGAGGGUAGGACAAAAGAUGUCAUGCAAGUUCUUAUCGCAAGCACGCAUGACUAUAUACGGAGUACAUGCCUACAUUAUAUUGAUGAAUUGGAGCUAGUUUUGUGUCGCCCUAGUGUAUAACUAUUACAUGAUCAAUGUCAUCUAAAUCGUUAUCCAUCACUGAUCCACGUGCCUACGCUUUACAUAUUCUAAAUCUUGCAAAGUUACUACUCUUGCUGCUACUUUCACACCUGCUACUCAAUUGCCACUGUUACUACCAUUACUACUAUUACCAAAAUUUAUGCUACUCAAUUGCUACUGUUACCACUAUCAUUUGUUGUGCUACUAAAUCCUUGCCGUAGAGAGAUAUCCCAGGUGCGGUUGAAUUGGCAACUCAACUAUUAUGGCCAAUAAAUAUUCAUUGGUACCCUUUGCGCCGAAUCAAUAACUUAGGGUGAAAUACUACCCAUGAAUACUAUCACGAUCCCCUAUACUUGUGGGUUAUCAAGACCUUUUUCUGGAACUGUUGACGGGGAGCAUAGCUCUAUUUAUUAUGUUGAAUUGAGGACGUCAAGAAAUUACCACCGAUUGAAGAAAUACAUGGACUUGAUACCCCAACACAUGUAGUAGAGGUAAAAUCUCUCUAUUCCUUUACUGAAAAUGAUAUACCUUAUGCUACGACUCCCGAUCAAUGCAUGGAUGAAUUUGGUAACUACAUUGUUAAACAAGAACACUUCAAUAACUAUGUUAAGAAUCAAUUGAAUAAGAAUGCUAUAAUUAUAGAAUGCUUAAGUGACUUGAUGUUUAGAAUUGCCAAUGAUGUGAAAGGUCUAGGUAAGCACGCUUCUAUGGUUCACACCCAACUAGAUCAAGUAGCUAAGUCACAAAAUAAUUUUCUUGUUGAGAUGAAUAAUAUUAAUGAUCAUGUUGUUAGAGUGAUGACUAGGGGAGGUAGAAUGACUCAGGAACCUCCCUAUCCUGAAGGUCAUCUUAAAAGAAUAGACGAGGAUUCUCAGAGAAUUAAUGAUGAUACUCCUAGUCCUACUAAGAAAAACAAAAAGAAAAAUGGUAGGACUUUGCAUGCCCCUAGUGAACUAGAUAAUGAAAAACGUGCUGAGAAUCAUAAUGAUGUUUGUAUUUGUGAUGUUGAAACACAAUGUGGUACUAAACAUGAACAUAAUGAUAACAGUAAUGAUAAUAAUGAUGUUCAUGUAGAAGAUCCACCAGGUAGUAAUAAGGAACCUGAUAAUGAUGUUGAGAUAGAACCUGCUGAGGUCUUGGUAACCUACCUCCUAAAAAUAAACGUUAUGAUAAGAGAGACUUUGUUGCUAGAAAACAUGGAAGGGAAAGAGAUCCAUGGGUUCAAAAACCCAUGCCAUUCCCUCAAAUUUCUUCUAAAAGUAGGGACGAUGAAGAUUUUGAACCCUUUGCUGAAAUGAUUAGACCUGUCUUUUUGCAUACUCGCUUGAAUGAUAUAUUGAAAAUGCCUCCUUAUGCUAAGUACAUGAAAGAUAUUAUUACUAAUAAAAGAAAGAUACCCGAAACUGAAAUUUCUACUAUGCUUGCCAAUUAUUCUUUUGAUGGUGGAAUACCUAAGAAGUUGGGAGACCCGGGUAUACCCACAAUACCUUGCUCUAUUAAAAUAAAUUAUGUUAGAACUGCUUUAUGUGAUUUAGGAGCUAGUGACAGUGUUAUGCCUUUCUCCCUUUAUAGAAGACUUGAAUUAGAUAAGCUUACACCCACUGAGAUAUCUUUGCAAAUGGCUGAUAAAUCAACCGCUUUACCUAUUUGAAUUUGCGAGGACGUCCCUGAUACGUCCAUUUUGCAUCAUGUUUUCCUACUGUUAUUUAUGUUGUUUUAUUGUAUAAUAAUGAUUUUUGGAGUAACUCUAAUGCCUUUUCUCUCAUAAUAUGGAAGGUAUACACAAAGGGGGAGAAUUCUAGCAGCUGGAAAUCUGGACCUGAAAAGCUACGUCGGGCUACCUAUUCUGCACAACUCCAAAUGAGUUGAAACUUUAUGAGGAAUUUUUAUGGAAUAUUUGAGGAAUAUUGGAGCAAAUAAGUACCAAAGGGGGCCCACCAGGUGGGUACAACCCACCUGGGCGAGCCAGGGAGUCUAGGCAUGCCCCGGUGGGUUGUGCUCACCCAGGCCCACCUUCGGUGCCCCUCUUCUGGUAUAUAAGUCAUUUUGACCAAGAAAAAAAGGAGGAUAGGACUUUCCGGACGAAGCGCCGCCGUCUCGAGGCGGAACUUUGGCAGGAGCACUUUUGCCCUUCGACGGAGCGAUUCCGACGGGGGAAAUUCCCUCACGGAGGGGGAAAUCAUCGUCAUCAUCAUCAUCAACAACUCUCCCAUCUUGGAGAGGGCUAUCUUCAUAAACAUCUUCAACACCACCAACUCCUCUCAAAGCCUAGUUCAUCUCUUGUGUUCAAUCUUUGUACCGGAACUAUAGAUUGGUGCUUGUGGGUGAGUUGUAGUGUUGAUUACAUCUUGUAGUUGAUUACUAUAUGGUUUAUUUGGUGGAAGAUUAUAUGUUCAGAUCCAUUAUGCUAUUUAAUACCCCUCUUAUCUUUAGCAUGAUUAUCAUUUGUGAGUAGUUACUUUUUUUCUUGAGGUCACGCGAGAAAUCAUGUUGCAAGUAAUCAUGUUAAGUUUAUAUGUGUUUGAUAUUUUGAUGAUAUGUAUGUUGUGAUUCCCUUAGUGGUGUCAUGUGAACGUCGACUACAUGACACUUGACCAUACUUGGGACUAAGGGAAUGCAUUGUGGAUUAGUUAUUAGAUGAUGGGAUGCGAGAGUGACAGAAGCUUAAACCCUAGUUUAUGCGCUAUCCCGUAAGGGACCGAUUGGAUCCAAAAGUUUAAUGCUAUGUUUAGAAUUUAUUAUUAAUAUUUUUCUCAUAGUUGCGGAUGCUUGCGAGAGGGUUAAAUUAUAAUAGGAGGUUUGUUCAAGUAAGAACAACACCUAAGCACCGGUCCACCCACAUACCAAAUUAUCAAAGUAGCGAACACGAAUUAAGCCAACAUGAUGAAAGUGACAAGAUGAAAUUCCCGUGUACCCACAAGAACACUUUGCUUAUCAUAAGAGACCGUUUUGUCCUGUACUUUGCCUCAAAAGGAUUGGGCUACCUUGCUGCACUUUUUUUACUACUAUCGUUACUUGCUCGUUACAAAUUAUCUUGCUAUCAAACUACUCCGCUACUUACAAUUUUAGCACUUGUAGACAUUACCUGAAAACCACUUGUCAUUUCCUUCUGCUCCUCGUUGGGUUUGACACUCUUACUUAUUGAAAAGGCUACAAUUGACCCCAUAUACUUGUGGGUCAUCAAGGCUAUUUUCUAGCGCCGUUGUAGGGGAGUGAAGCGCUCUUGGUAAGUGGAAAUUGGUAAGGAAACAUUAUUACUACGUGCUGAAAUUUAUUGUCACUUUCUACUAUGGAAAACAAUCCUUUGAGGUGUUUGUUCAGGGUAUCUUCACCUCGACUGGAACCACAAUUAGUUGCCCCUCAACCUACUACACCUACUGAAAAUAUUGAAUAUGAAAUUCCUUCGGGUAUGGUAGAAUGCUACGGCGACAGAGAUAUUCUGUCGUCUCUUGAGCUUGCGUUUGUUUUUCCCUUGAAGAGGAAAGGGCGAUGCAACACAGGAGCAGUAAGUAUUUCCCUCAGUUUGAGAACCAAGGUAUCAAUCCAGUAGGAGAAUCUCGUCAAGUCCAGAGUACCUGCACAAACACAAAAGAGGUUGCACCCAAUGCUAAAAGGGGUUGUUAAUCCCUUCAAGAUUGAUUGCAAAGUGAGAUCCGAAGGCGGAAAGUGCAACAAAGAAAAAGAGUAAGGCCGAAAAUAUGGUGUGGAGUAGACCCAGGGGCCAUAGUGUUUGAUGUCAGUUGUGCUUCCCUGGCAAUAGCUCCAGAAAAGGGCUGAUCCUGCAAUCUGUGGCGUUAGCUAGACGAAUGCUUAUAACAACUAACCUUCUCCUGCAAUGGCACCAGAAGAAUGCUGAAAGCACUCCGUGACAAUGAAACUGGAAGAAUGUUGUUGAUGGCCCACCAACGCGUGGGUUCGCAACAGUUUUCGAGGGUAGAGUAUUCGACCCAAUUUGUUGAUAAGCCCGUCAGGAGGUGAGAGUAUACUCUCAAGUAUUAGCAGCUGAAUUUGUCAGAUUCAACGACACGUGAAAGAUUAGUAUCUGGAAGCACAGUAGUAACAACAAAGUAGUAUGAUAACAACGGUGUCAGAAAUGAUCUGUUGACAGCAGACUUUUCCUAACGAUUGUAUCAAUGGUGCUUCAGUUUCCGCGUUGACGGAAGUUGUCAAUUCCCGUCAACGGUCACGCGAAUCAACAGUGUAACAGGUAGCAGCAGUGUAACGAGCAAUAGCAGUCGCAAGGAACAGCAGUAGUGACAGCAGUAGCAAGUAGCAACAGUAGCAGCAGAGCAAGACAAGUAACGGCAGUAGCAACAGUAGUAGCAGCAGCAGCAGAGCAAGACAAGUAACAUCAGUAGCAACAGUAGUAGUAGCAGCAGAGCAAGACAAGUAACAGUAGUAGUAACAGUAGGACAAACUCGUAGGCAUUGGGUCGGUGAUUUGUUUGGAUGAUAUUCAUCAUGCAACAGCUAUAACACGGAGAGAUAUGUGGCUAGCUCCCGUUCAUCAAUGUGAUGUAGGCAUGCAUUCCGUGUGUCGUCAUACGUGCUUAGGGAAAAGAACUUGCAUGACAUCUAUUGUCCAUCCCUCCCGUGGCAGCGGGGUCCAAAAGGAAACUACGGGAUAUUAAGGUUCUCCUUCUAAUAAAGAACCGGACCAACGCAUUAGCACUUGGUGAACACAUGAACUCCUCAAACUAUGAUCAUCACCGGGAGUGGUUCUGUUUAUUGUCACUCUGAGGUUGCUGGAUCAUAACACAUAGUAGGUAACUACAACUUGCAAGAUCGGAUCUAAAACACACAUAUAUUGGUGACAACAUAAUAAUUUCAGAUCUGAAAUCAUGGCACUCGAGCCCUAGUGACAAGCAUNNNNNNNNNNNNNNNNNNNNNNNNNNNNNNNNNNNNNNNNNNNNNNNNNNNNNNNNNNNNNNNNNNNNNNNNNNNNNNNNNNNNNNNNNNNNNNNNNNNNNNNNNNNNNNNNNNNNNNNNNNNNNNNNNNNNNNNNNNNNNNNNNNNNNNNNNNNNNNNNNNNNNNNNNNNNNNNNNNNNNNNNNNNNNNNNNNNNNNNNNNNNNNNNNNNNNNNNNNNNNNNNNNNNNNNNAACUAACUCGAUUACAUAAUAGAUCUCAUCCUACUCAUCACCGCCCAGCGAGCCUACGAAUAGAUUACUCACGAACGACAAAGAGCUUCAUGGAAUUGGAGAGGGAAGAAGGUUGAUGAUGACGAUGGCGACGAUUUCCCCUCUCCGGAGCCUAAGACGAACUCCAGAUCUGCCCUCUAGAUGAAGAACAGGUGGUGGCGGCGCCUCCGUAUCGAAAACGCGAUGAAAACUUCUCUUUUUAUUUUUUCUGCGACGAAAGACAACUUAUAGAGCUGGAGUUGGGGGCGGCAGGUGCCUGUGGGCCCCACAAGCCUGCCCACCACCACCAGGGGGGUGGUGGCGGAGCAGGGGCUUGUGGUCCACUGGCCCACCCCCUGACGUGGAUCCUGGCGCAGGUAUUUUUCUUAUUUUCCAAAACUGCUCCCCGUAAAUUUUCAGGACGUUUGGAGAACUUUGAUUUCUACACAAAAAUAACACCAAGGCAAUUCUGCUGAAAACAGCGUCAGUCUAGGUUAGUUCCAUUCAAAUCAUGCAAAUUAUAGUCCAAAACAAGGGCAAAAGAGUUUGGAAAAGUAGAUACGUUGGAGACGUAUCAACUCCCCCAAGCUUAAAACCUUGCUUGUCCUCAAGCGACUCAGUUGACAAACUGGGAGAAAGAAAAACUUUGACAAACUCUGUUUGAUCUUGUUGUUGCAACUAUGUCUAACUCAUAACCAGCAUUUCAGCAAGAUCACAAGUUAAUCACAGAAGCAAAUGACACAAAGGCCUCACGGUAAACUAAUAUCAAUGGCAUAAUCAGCUAACGAGCAGAUAAUAAUGAGUUUCAAAUACCAACACUUCAAUCAAAACAAGCAUGAAGCAAUAUGAAUAGGUGGUAUCUCGCUAGCUCUUUCUGAGACCGCAAAACAUAAAUGCACAACACUUUCAAAGAUCAAGGGCUGACUAAACAUUGUAAUUCAUAGCAACGAAGAUCUAGUCAUAGUCAUACUCAAUAUCAAUCAAAAGCAAAGCAUAAAAAUGACAGAGGUGCUCUCUAAUUGGUGCUUAUAUAAGAGGAGGAUGACUUGACAGGAAAAUAAAUAGACAUGCCCUUCGUAGAGGGAAGCAUUGAUUUGCAGAGGUGCCAGAGCUCAAGCUUUGAAAACAGAGAUAAUAAUUUUGGGUGGCAUGCUUUCAUUGUCAACGCAAUGACCAAGAGUUCUCAAUAUCUUCCAUGCUACUCAUGCUAUAGGCGGUUCCCAAACAGAAAAGUAAAGUUUUAACUCCCCCACCACCAAUCACUCACACUCCACGGCUAGCCGAAUCCUCGGGUACCGUCCAUACUAACAUCAAUCCGGGGGGAGUCUUGUUUUACAGUUAUGUUUUCGAUCUAAGCAUGGAACUGGGCAUCCCAAAUACCGCCCCCUUUCUCGUGAAGGACUGUGAAUAAACACAUGUCGAGGAUAACACUCCUAGCAUGGAAGAUACCAAUAGCCCUCUGUCACCACAUGAGCGGUUCGGGCAUGCAAAACAGAUUUAUUUCUUGAAGGUUUAGAGAAUGGCACAUGCAAAUUUACUUGGAACGGCAGGUAGAUACCGCAAAUAGGUAGGUAUGGUGGACUCUCAUGGAAAAACUUUUGGGUUCAUGGAAGUGGAUGCACAAGUAGCAUUCCCGCUUAGUACAAGUGAAGGCUAGCAAAAGACAGGGAAGCGACCAACUAGAGAGCGACAACAGUCAUCAAGAUGCAAUGAGUUUGACUAACAUUGAAUGCAAGCAUGAACAUGAUAUAAAUCACCAUGAACACGAACAUCAUAGAGGCUAUGCUGAUUUUGUUUCAACUAUAUGCAUGAACAUGCGCCAAGUCAAGCCACUUGAAACAUUCAAAGGAGAAUACCAUCCUAUCAUACUACAUCAUAGUCAUCUCAAAAUCUAUGUUGGCAAUCAAGACAAACCAUUAUAAGCUCUCAGCUAAAUAAGCAUGGCAUCAGAAACUAUGAUCUCUAAGUUGUCAUUGCAAACAUGGUUCUCUCACAAUAAAGCUAAAUCUGGGUCGACAAGGUAGUCAUAUUUACAAAAACAAAAUAGAUAGAGUUCAUACCAGCUUUUCAGUCUGAGUCACUUCAUCAUAUAUCAUCAUUGUUGCCUUUCAUUUGCAUGAUCAAACGAUGAAAACGGUAAUAAGCGCAUUCGACUAAGCUGAAUCUGCAGGCAAACANNNNNNNNNNNNNNNNNNNNNNNNNNNNNNNNNNNNNNNNNNNNNNNNNNNNNNNNNNNNNNNNNNNNNNNNNNNNNNNNNNNNNNNNNNNNNNNNNNNNNNNNNNNNNNNNNNNNNNNNNNNNNNNNNNNNNNNNNNNNNNNNNNNNNNNNNNNNNNNNNNNNNNNNNNNNNNNNNNNNNNNNNNNNNNNNNNNNNNNNNNNNNNNNNNNNNNNNNNGUAACCAAUAUCUUCUAACUUGACACAAAGAAAAAUAAAAUCUAUUUACACAGGAAAGCUCCCAACAAGCAAAAGAAGAAAGAAAAAUCUUUUUGGGUUUUCUCAAAAGGACACAACACAAGAAAACAAGAAAACAAAAAGAAACUAGCAUGGAUAAUACAGUGGCAAAGUGUAAACACCGGCUAACAAAGUGAAAGCAUAAGCAUGAAUGUAAAGUCGGUGAGAACACGUACUCCCCCAAGCUUAGGAUUUUGGCCUAGCUUGUUCUACCCCCAAGGAUGAUCCUGGCGAAAACCAAAGUCAUAAUGGGUGUUAUACGGGAGUGCUGCAGCCACUGCCUGAAUAGCUGUCUCGCGAAGUCGAGCAAUCGUCGCCUCCCUCUCAUACUCCUCUGCCUCUCCUAUGGUUAUGUAGUAUCUUCGUUUAAUCUGAAAGUCAAAGAAAGCAGGAGCAGGAAGGGUAAUAUGAAAAACACGCUGCCGGUUAAAUAUCAAGCGGUGUAGGAGAGAUCCAUGAUCUCUCUCAAGGAACUGGUAGCAUGUUAGAGCGACACGAUCAAGGUAGGCUGUACGGAGAGGAGGGUCUUCUGGAUGGAUGGUUACUCCAAGAAAAUUUGCUAAGCGUGUAGCAUAAACUCCACCAAAGAAAUCCCCCUCACUGGCAUUUUUUUCCAGCCUCCUUACUAUAACAACUCCCAUAUUGAAGCUCCUGUCACCUGUUACUGCGCUCUUAAGGAUACUAAGGUCGAAAGCGCAUAGGUGACAAUGUGCACCCUUGUCGUUAAUGCAUCUACCUAUGAAGAGGGCAAGGUAGUGCAAGGCAGGGAAAUGGAUGCUUCCUAUGGUGGCUUGCGUGAUAUCUCUGGUUUCUCCAACAGUUAUACUGGAGACAAAGUCUCUGACCGAAGACUUAGGAGGAUCAAUAACACUACCUCCAUCGGGUAUCUUGCAAAUCCUAUUGAAAUCCUCCAAACCCACAGUAUAGGAUUUAUCGUACAGAUCAAACAGUAUGGACGACUCAUGGCCAGCUAAAAAUUUAAAUCUAUGCACGAAAGAGGCAGUGAGCAUAGCAUACUGUUCACAUUUAUCUGAGAGGAAUUCUUCUAACCCGGCAUUGCGGACAAGUGCAUCAAACUCAUCCUUGAAGCCUGCUUCGAUCAUGAACUCAUCGGAAGGCCAUUCACAUGGUUGUACUGGUGCGUCCCUUAGUUGAAAAGGUUUGGGCUCCCGAUAAGAGAGAUGGGGACCCUUCUUACUUGAGGAACCACCAUGAAACUUCCUCCUGAACAUAAUUUCCUUUUGCUGAAAUUUUUGAAGUUCAAGAGAAAAGUGAAUGAGGACCAACCAUACCUUGUAGCAACUACUCCUACUAGUGUCUAGAGACCGUAUCACGCGCUAAAACUACUUGGGACCAGCUAAAAUCAACUUUUAUAGCUCAAGAACAGGGUCACCAAGGUAGCAAGAAUUCGUGAAGGAUAAAGCACUAGAGCAAAAACUAAUUGGACCAAUGGAGGAGUCACUUACCAAGGAGUAAUUUCCCCAAAACAGUUCGGAGAAUGGUGCUUUGAGCAAGGAGAUCGAAAAUCACAGCCAAAUGAGCAAGAACACGGGUUUGAGCUGCGAAACAAUUUUUUCUGGAGGUGGAAGAAGAGGCUGGGAGCUGGAAUGAGUGGAGGGGGUGCCUAUGGGCCCCACAAGCUUGCACCCCGCCACCAGGGGGGUAGGUGGCGGUGGGGGGGCUUGUGGCCCACUGGUCUGGCCCCCUGACCAGCUCUCAGGCCCAGAAAUUUUCAAAAAUUCCAGAAAAAAUCAUACUAAUUUUUCAGGACCAUCGGAGAACUUUUAUUUUCCAGGUAUUUUUCUCCGGGACACUAAAACAGAAAACAGGAAAAGCUAAACUAAUUCUAUCAUUUUUCUUCUAAGCAACAGAAAAGGAAAACUCAAAACAGAGGUAUGUGACUCUCUGAUUCAUCCGUUUCAUGGUCAUCGGAAGAAAUUCGUCAAUGGGAUUGAUAGGGUCCUUAUGACAAAACCUUCUCGAAUCACAAGAGAGAACGAAGAAUUUUCGAAUAGUCACUAAGUCACCUCAAUGGGGAUAUGAAUCUCCCCAACAAGCAAAUCAUACUUCAUCUUGACACGAGGAAUAGGGCAUUCAAAGCUCCCAAUGAGAAUCGAUGAAGUCUUUUCAAUAGCAUUGAUGCAAUGUACUGGAUAUCAUUUCUUCGGAAAGUGCACUGUGUGCUCAUUACCGUUGACAUGGAAAGUGACAUUGCCUUUGUUGCAAUCUAUAACAGCCCCUGCAGUGCUUAAAAAGGGUCUUCCGAGGAUGAUAGCCAUGGCAUCGUCCUCGGGAAUAUCCAAGAUAACAUAGUCUGUUAAGAUAGUGGUGUUAGCAACCACAACAGGCACAUCCUCGCAAAUGCCGAUAGGGAAAGUUGUUGAUUUGUCGGCCAUUUGCAGAGAAAUUUCAGUGGGUGUCAACUUAUCCAACUCAAGUCUACGAUAAAGAGAAAGCGGCAUAACACUAACACCGACUCCAAGGUCACAUAAGGCAGUUCUUACGUAGUUUCCUUUAAUAGAGCAAGGUAUAGUGGGCACUCCGGGAUCACCAAGUUUCUUAGGAGUUCCACCUUUAAAAGUGUAGUUGGCAAGCAUGGUGGAGAUCUCAAGAUCUGGUAUCUUCCUUUUAUUAGUCACGAUAUCUUUCAUGUACUUGGCAUACGGAGACAUCUUGAGCAUAUCAGUUAACCGCAUCUGCAGAAAGACGGGUCUUAUCAUCUCAACAAAGCGCUCAAAAUCCUCAUCAUCCUUUUUCUUGGAUGGCUUAGGAGGAAGGGACAUAGGUCUCUGAACCCAUGGCUCUCUUUCUUUACCAUGCUUCCUAGCAGUGAAGUCAUUCUUGUCGUAUCUCUUAGGUUGUGGAUUAUCAGGAUUAACCGUAGGUUCAAUCUCCACAUCCUCAUCAUGGCUAGGUUGAGCAUUAUUAUGAACAUCACUGUCCAUGUUGUCACCAGGUUCAUGUUCAUCACCUGAUUGUGUUUCUGUAUCAGACACAGAAAUAUCAUUAGGUUCUUCAGGUGUGAUAGUAUUUGGUGAACUGGCAUGCAGGUUUCUAUCAUCCUUCUUCUUCUCCUUAGGAUGACUAGGUGUAUCAGCAUUGAUUCCUUGAGAAUCUUGAUCAAUUCUCUUAGGAUGACCUUCAGGAUACAAAGGUUCCUGAGUCAUUUUGCCUCCUCUAGUAAUGACUCUGACAGAGUUGUCAUUUAAUUCAUUGAGCAGGUCAUUCUGAGCUUUCAGUACUUGUUCUACCUGAGUAGUAAUCAUAGAGGCAUGUUUACUCAGAAGCUUCAAAGCAUUGACAUUUCUGUCUACACAAGCACUUAAAUGGCUAAGCAUACGAGCACUUUUUUCCAAAUAUCUGCUAACAUAAUCAUUGAAACUUUGUUGUUUGGCAAAAAAGUUGUCAAAUUCAUCAAAGCAUAGGCUAGAAGGUUUAUCAAAAGGAAUAUCACUCUCAUCAAACCUACGUAGAGAAUUCACUUCUACUACCUGUAUCGGGUUAUCGAGACCGUGGAUCUCUUCGAUAUGCGGUAGAUUUUUGACAUCUUCAGCUCUAAUGCCUUUCUCUUGCAUAGAUUUCUUGGCUUCUUGCAUAUCUUCGGGACUGAGGAAUAGAAUACCUCUUUUCUUAGGAGUUGGCUUAGGAGGUGAUUUGGGAAUAGUCCAAGCAUUAUCGUUGAUCAAGAGGUUAUUCAGUAGAGUCUCAGCUUGUUCUACAGUUCGUUCCCUAAAAACACAACCGGCACAACUAUCUAGGUGGUCUCUAGAGGCAUCGGUAAGUCCGUUAUAGAGGAUAUCAAGUAUCUCGUUCUUCUUAAGAGGGUGAUCAGGCAAAGCAUUCUGUAGCUGGACGAGCCUCCCCCAAGCUUGUGGAAGACUCUCUUCUUGGAGUUGGGCAAAGUUGUAUAUUUCCUGCAAGGCAACUUGCUUCUUAUGGGCAGGGAAAUAUUUCUCACAGAAGUAAUAGACCAUCUCCUGGGGACUACGCACGCAUCCAGGAGCAAGAGAGGUGAACCAGGCUUUAGCAUCAUCCUUUAGAGAGAAAGGAAACAACUUAAGGAUAUAGUAGUGGCGGAUCUCCUCCUCAUUAGUGAAAAGGUUGGCUAUUUCGGAUAGUUUGGCAAGAUGGUCUAUGACCAUCUCAGACUCAUAACCGUAAAAAGGAUCAGAUUCGACUAGAGAGAUUAUCUCAGGGUCUACAGAGAAUUCAUAAUCCUUAUCGGUGACAAAGAUAGGCGAAGUGGCAAACUUCGGAUCAUUUUUCAUCCUAACUUCCCGAGAUUUUUCCUUCCACUUGAGAACUAAUUUCUCAGUGUCAUAGGCAUCCUUACAUGCAAGAAAAUCCUCAGCUAUCUCUCCCUCUAUAACGCAACCCUCAGGUAUAACAGGCAAUUCAUAUCUAGGAGAGCUAGAUCUAGCAGGAGCAAAAGCAGGUUCUAUCUCAAUAGCAUCGGCAAUAUCAGAAGCAUCACGAGCAUUGGCAGUAACUCUAGCAAUAUGAGCAUCAAGGAACGCUCCUAGUGGAACAUCAGGCAAAGGAGUAUCUCUAGCAGUAUCAAGCAUAACAUCAUCAGGCAUAGUAGCUUCUCUAGCAUCAUCAGGCAUAGCGGUAUCAAGCAUAGCAUCUCUAGCAGUAUGAAGCAUAGCAUCUCUAGCAGUAUCAAGCAUAGCAUCAUCAGGCAUAGUAUCAAGCAUAAUAUCAUCAGGCAUAGUAUCAAGCAUAGCAUCUCUAGCAGUAGUAUCACAAGCAUCAUCAAGCACAUGCGACAUAUCAAGAUUUGUAGCAGGAGGUGAUGUCGCAAACUUACUCAUAAUUGAAGGUGAAUCAAGUGUAGAGUUAGAUGGCAAUUCCUUACCUCCCCUCGUAGUUGAGGGCAAGACUUUGGUCUUCGGAUCCUUCAGAUUAUUCAUAGUGAUCAGCAGAUAUAAAUCCCUAGUGACUCAGAGAAUAUAGCAAUACCUCCCCGGCAACGGCACCAGAAAAAUGCUGACGUCAGCUGUGCUUCCCUGGCAAUGGCUUCAGAAAAGGGCUGAUCCUGCAAUCUCUGGUGUUAGCUAGACGAAUGCUUAUAACAACUAAUCUUCUCCUGCAAUGGCACCAGAAGAAUGCUGAAAGCACUCCCCGGCAAUGAAACUGGAAGAAUGUUGUUGAUGGCCCACCAACACGUGGGUUCGCAGCAGUUUUCGAGGGUAGAGUAUUCGACCCAAUUUGUUGAUAAGCCUGACAGGAGGUGAGAGUAUACUCUCAAGUAUUAGCAGCUGAAUUUGUCAGAUUCAACCACACCUGAAAGAUUAGUAUCUGCAAGCACAGUAGUAACAGCAAAGUAGUAUGAUAACAACGGUGUCAGAAACGAUCUAUUGACAGUAGACUAUUCCUAACAAUUGUAUCAAUGGCGCUUCCAUUGCCGCGUUGACGGAAGUUGUCAAUUCCCGUCAACGGUCAGGCGAAUCAACAUUGUAACAAGUAGAAGCAGUGUAACGAGCAAUAGCAGUGGCAAGGAACAGCAGUAGUGACAACAGUAGCAAGUAGCAACAGUAGCAAGCGAGAGUAAUAGCAACAGUAGCAGCAAAGCAAGACAAGUAACGGCAGUAGCAACAGUAGUAGUAGCAGCAGAGCAAGAUAAGUAACAGCGGUAGCAACAGUAGUAGUAGCAGCAGAGCAAGACAAGUAACAACAGUAGCAACAGUAGGACAAACUCGUACGCAUUGGGUCGGUGAUUUGUUUGGAUGAUAUUCAUCAUGCAACAACUAUAACAUGGAGAGAUAUGUGGAUAGCUCCCGUUCAUCAAUGUGAUGUAGGCAUGCAUUCCGUGUGUCGCCAUACGUGCUUAGGGAAAAGAACUUGCAUGACAUCUAUUGUCCAUCCCUCCCGUGGCAGCGGGGUCCAAAAGGAAACUAUGGGAUAUUAAGGUUCUCCUUUUAAUAAAGAACNNNNNNNNNNNNNNNNNNNNNNNNNNNNNNNNNNNNNNNNNNNNNNNNNNNNNNNNNNNNNNNNNNNNNNNNNNNNNNNNNNNNNNNNNNNNNNNNNNNNNNNNNNNNNNNNNNNNNNNNNNNNNNNNNNNNNNNNNNNNNNNNNNNNNNNNNNNNNNNNNNNNNNNNNNNNNNNNNNNNNNNNNNNNNNNNNNNNNNNNNNNNNNNNNNNNNNNNNNNNNNNNNNNNNNNNNNNNNNNNNNNNNNNNNNNNNNNNNNNNNNNNNNNNNNNNNNNNNNNNNNNNNNNNNNNNNNNNNNNNNNNNNNNNNNNNNNNNNNNNNNNNNNNNNNNNNNNNNNNNNNNNNNNNNNNNNNNNNNNNNNNNNNNNNNNNNNNNNNNNNNNNNNNNNNNNNNNNNNNNNNNNNNNNNNNNNNNNNNNNNNNNNNNNAACUAACUCGAUUACAUGAUAGAUCUCAUCCUACUUAUCACCGCCCACCGAGCCUACGAAUAGAUUACUCACGAACGACGAACAACUUCAUGGAAUUGGAGAGGGAAGAAGGUUGAUGAUGACGAUGGCGACGAUUUCCCCUCUCCGGAGCCUAAGACGGACUCCAGAUCUGCCCUCUAGAUGAAGAACGGGUGGUGGCGGCGCCUCCGUAUCGAAAACGCGACGAAAACUUCUCUUUUUAUUUUUUCUGCGAUGAAAUACAAUUUAUAGAGCUGGAGCUGGGGGCGGCAGGUGCCUGUGGGCCCCACAAGCCUGCCCACCGCCACCAGGGGGUGGUGGCGGAGCAGGGGCUUGUGGCCCACUGGCCCACCCCCUGAGGUGGAUCCUGGCGCAGGUAUUUUUCUUAUUUUCCAAAACUGCUCCCCGUAAAUUUUCAGGAUGUUUGGAGAACUUUGGUUUCUGCACAAAAAUAACACCAAGGCAAUUCUGCUGAAAACAGCGUCAGUCCAGGUUAGUUCCAUUCAAAUCAUGCAAAUUAUAGUCCAAAACAAGGGCAAAAGAGUUUGGAAAAGUAGAUACGUUGGAGACGUAUCAAUGUUCACUAGAGGCUUCUCUCAAAAUAGCAAAUAUUACGGUGUGUGAACGAAUUACUGUCAAGCAAUUGAUAGAACCGCGCAAAGUCAUGACGAUAUCUAAGGCAAUGAUCAUACAUAUAGGCAUCACGUUCGAGACAAGUAGACCGGUACUUUUUGCAUCUACUACUAUUANNNNNNNNNNNNNNNNNNNNNNNNNNNNNNNNNNNNNNNNNNNNNNNNNNNNNNNNNNNNNNNNNNNNNNNNNNNNNNNNNNNNNNNNNNNNNNNNNNNNNNNNNNNNNNNNNNNNNNNNNNNNNNNNNNNNNNNNNNNNNNNNNNNNNNNNNNNNNNNNNNNNNNNNNNNNNNNNNNNNNNNNNNNNNNNNNNNNNNNNACAGAGUAACGCCUUAAACAAGAUAACAUGAUGUAGAGGGAUAAACUCAAACCAAUGAUGAAACCCCCAUCUUUUUACCCUUGCUCGCAACAACACGAUACGUGCCUCGCUACCCCUUCUGUCACUCGGUGUGGUCACCGCACGGUAUGAAACCAAAACCAAGCACUUCUCCCAUUGCAAGGAUCAUAGAUCUAGUUGGNNNNNNNNNNNNNNNNNNNNNAUAUGAAAUCAUGCAUACGAGAGAUCAGAAGAAACUCAAAUAAUUUUCAUAGAUAAUCUGAUCAUAAAUCCACAAUUCAUCGGAUCUCGACAAACACAGUGCAAAAGAAAAUUACAUCGGAUAGAUCUCCAUGAAGAUCAUGGAGAACUUUGUAUUGAAGAUCCAAGAGAGAGAAGAAGCCAUCUAGCUACUAGCUAUGGACCCGUAGGUCUAUGGUGAACUACUCACGCAUCAUCGGAGAGGUCAUGGUGUUGAUGAAGAAGCCCUCUGUAUCCGAAUCCCCCCUCCGGCAGGGCACCAGAACGUGCCCCAGAUGGGAUGUUGCAGAGACAGAAGCUUGCGGCAGCGGAAAAGUACUUUCUGGGAUUUUAGGGAAUUUAUAGGCGAAAGACCUAGGGCAGAGGUGGCCCAGGGAGCCCACAAGCCUGGGAGGCGCGGCGCCCUGGCCACGGCUAGGGGGCUUGUGGGGUCCCUGCUGUCGCCUGCCCUAAUUCUCAGGCUUCUCGAUCUUCUUCUGUUUCGGAAAAAAUCUUUUUGGCAGAUUCGUUUUGUUUGGACUCCGUUUAAAAUCCUCCUCUGAAAGGGGUUAAAAACAUGGAAAAAACAGGAACUGGCACUUGGCACUGAGUUAAUAAGUUAGUCCCAAAAAAUAUAUAAAAUGCAUACAAAACAUCCAAAGUUUGACAAGAUAAUAUCAUGAAACCAUCAAAAAUUAUAGAUACGUUGGAGAUGUACCAAGCAUCCCCAAGCUUAACUCCUGCUCGUCCUCGAGUAGGGAAGUGAUAAAGAAUGAAUUUUUGAUGUGGAAUGCUACCUAGCAUAGUUGUCCUUUGCAACUUAUUUCAUGUGACAUGAAUGUUCAGAUCCGUAAGAUUCAAAACAAUAGUUUGCUAUUGACAUAAAACAAUAAUACUUCAAGCAAACUAACAAGGCAAACAUGAACUUUUGAAAUAACAAGGCCAAAGAAAGUUAUCCCUACAAAAUCAUAUAGUCUGGCUAUGCUCCAUCAUCCUCACACAACUAAUGUAAAUCAUGCACAACCCCGGUAUUGGCCAAGUAAUUGUUUUCACACUCUUAUUUUCUCAAACUUUUUAUAACUAUCACGCAAUACAUGAGCGUGAGCCAUGGAUAUAGCACUAUAGGUGGAAUAGAGUGUGGUGGUGGUUAUGAGACAAAAAGGAGGAGAUGGUCACAUUGACUCGGCGUAUCAAAGGGCUAUGGAGAUGCCCAUUAAUAGAUAUCAAUGUGAAUGAGUAGGGAUUGCCAUACAAAGGAUGCACUAAAGCUAUAAGUAUGUGAAAGCUCGAAAGGAGAACUAGUGGGUGUGCAUCCAACUUGCUUGCUCAUGAAGACCUAGGGAAAUUUGAGGAAGCCCAUCAUUGGAAUAUACAAGCCAAGUUAUAUAAUGAAGAUUCCCACUAGCAUAUGGUGAUGAUGAAAUGAGAGGCUCUCAAUCAUGAAGAACAUGGUGCUAUUAUAAAGCACAAGUGUGGAAAAAGAUAGUAGCAUUGUCCCUUCUCUCUUUUUCUCUCUCUUUUUUUUGGGCUCUUUGGCCUCUUUCCAUAUCUCUUUUUUUGUUUGGGCUCUUUGGCCUCCUUUUUUUAUUUCCUCACACGGGACAAUGCUCUAAUAAUGAUGAUCAUCACACUUUUAUUUAUUCACAGCUCAAAGCUUAGAAAUGUCUCUAUAGGAAAUGCCUCCGGUAGUGUACCGGGAUGUGCAAUGAUCUAGCUUACGAUCAUGCAAUGGCAAUAUGAGAGUGACGGCACAAGUCAUGAGACAGAACGGUGGGAGUUGCAUGGCAAUAUAUCUCGGAAUGGCUAAGAAAAUGCCAUAGUAGGUAGGUAUGGUGGCUGUUUUGAGGAAGGCAUAGGGUGGGUUUGUUUACCGGCGAAAGUUGCGCGUCACUAGAGAGGCUAGCAAUGGUGGAAGUUGAAAGUGCAUCUAUACCAUGGACUCACAUUAGUCAUGAAGAACUCACAUACUUGUUACGAAAGUUUUUAUUAGUAAUCAAAACAAAGUGCUAAACGCAUACUCCUAGGGGAAGGGUUGGUAGGUGUAAACCAUCGCGUGAUCCCGACCUCAACACAAAGGAUGACAAUCAAUAGAUCAAUUAUGCUCCGACUUCCUAACAUAGCGGUUCACCAUACGUGCAUGCUAUGGGAAUCACUAACUUCAACACAAGUAUUUCUAGAUUCACAACAUCCUACUAACAUAACUUUUAAUAUUACCAAAUCCACGUCUCAAAACUAAUUGAGAGGAAUCAAGACUUCUCUUUCUACUCAAUGCACAUGAAGAUGGAGGUUUUUGUAUCCUCUUUGGGUACCUAUCAACUUUGGGACUACUUUGAUAGCAUAAGCCAACUACCAAGUCACGCACCGCCAUGCUCUACAAGAUAGAAGUGAAGCACAAAGAGCAAAAUUAUCUAGCUCAAAAGAUAUAAGUGAAGCACUAUGAGCAUUCUAGCAAAAUCAUGAUGAGUGCAUGUCUCUCUCUAAAGGUGUGCAUCAAGGAUGAUUGUGACACAACAAAAAUAAAAGAAUCCUAAGAUACAAGAUGCUCCAAGCAAAACACAUAUCAUGUGGUGAAUAAAAAUAUAGCUCCAAGUAACAUUACCGAUGGAUUGAAGACGAAAGAGGGGAUGCCUUCCCGGGGCAUCCCCAAGCUUAGGCUUUUUGGUGUCCUUGAAUUUGGCUUGGUAUUCCUUGGGUAUCCGCAAGCUUGAGCUCUUCCCACUCCUUAUCUCUUUGUCCAUGAGAACAUCACCCAAAAGUUGAAAACUUCACAACACAAAACUUAAACAGAAACUCGUGAUAACAUUAGCACAAGAAAACAAACUACCACCACUUUAGGUACUGUAGCAAUCUUGAUUUCUAUUUAUAUUGGUGUUGAUCUACUAUAUUCUCACUUUUCCAUGGCUAGUACCCACCGAUACUAUCCAUAGUUUCAUCAAAACAAGCAACCAACUCAACAAAAAUAGAAUCUGUCAAAAACAGACCAGUCUGCAGCAAUCUGUAUAAUUCGUGUACUUCUGGUACCUCAAAAAUUCUGAAAACUUACGACUGCCUGGGAAAAAGGCAUAUCAACCAGAAGCAAAAAGAAUCAACUCAAAAUCUCUUUCUGAAUAAAAAUGAAAAAUCAUCUCGUGAGCGAAAAGUUUCUGUCUUUUUCCAGCAGGAUCAAACAACCAUCACCAAGACUAGUCAUAAAGGUUUUGCUUGGCUCAAACACAAAAGAAACACAAAAAACACAAUCAUAACAGAAUUAUGAUAGUGUGGACGCAACAAAAAAUAAAUAAAAAUAAAUAAAUUCAUUGGGUUACCUCCCAACAAGCGCUAUCGUUUAACGCCCUUAGCUGGGCAUAAGGCGAUAGAAUCACGUAUCGUUGUCUUUGGUGCUCAAACCAUAAGUAGCCCUCAUCAUAGAUUCAUAGGGCAAUCUUAUUUUCUUUCUAGUAAAGUGCUCCAUGCCCUUCUUUAAUGGAAAUUGAAAUCUAAUAUUCCCUUCCUUCAUAUCGAUGAUAGCACCGAUAGUCCUGAGGAAAGGUCUACCAAGAAUAAUAGGACAUGUAGGAUUGCAAUCAAUGUCAAGCACAAUGAAAUACACAGGUACAUAGUUCCUAUUUGCAAUAAUAAGAACAUCAUUGAUCCUUCCCAUGGGUUUCUUGACAGUAGAAUCCGCAAGAUGCAAAUUAAGAGAACACUCUUCAAUCUCAUUAAAACCCAGAACAUCACAUAAAGACUUUGGAAUCGCAGAAACACUAGCACCAAAAUCACACAAAGCAUUGCAUUCAUAGUUUUUGAUUUUGAUUUUGAUAGUAUGUUCCCACUCAUCAUGAAGCUUUCUAGGGAUAGAGACUUCCAAUUCAAGUUUCUCUUCAAGAGAUUUUAUCAUAGCUUCGACGAUAUGAUUGGUAAAGGCCUUGUUUUGGCUAUAAGCGUGUGGAGAGUUUAGCAUGGAUUGCAUCCAGGAAAUGCAUUCAAUCAAGGAGCAACUAUCAUAAUUGAAUUCCUUGAAAUCCAAAGUAGUAAUUUCAUUACUACUCAAAGAUUAUAUAUCCUCCACUCCACUUUUAAUGCUUUUAGCAUCAAGAUAGAUGGACUCCGAAUCAUUGGGGUAUUUUUCAACCAAGGUGGAUUCAUAUCCAACCCCAUCAUCAUUAGGUUUGACACAAGAAAACAAAGAUUCAAUGGGAGUCACACCAAGCACUUUAAGAUCUUCGUGAUUCUUAUCACGAGAACACACCUUUUUAAGCCAUUCAUGUCUAGCACGAAUUUGGGCGGUUCUUUCUUUGCUCUGACCCAUGGAAGCACGCAUAGAUUUUAAAGUUUCAUCCAUAUUGAUAUUGGGAGGAGCACAUCUAAGUUUCAAAGCAUCAAUAUCACUAGACAUUCUAUCAACACUCUUAGCCAAAUCGUCAAUUUUGAGUAGUUUUUCCUCUAUGGACGCAUUGAUUUUUUUUUGCGAGUUGAUAAACUCUUUGAUAUUACUCUCUAAAUCAGAGGGUAAUCUAUUGUAAUUUCCAUGAGUGUUGUUGUAGGAGUUGCCAAAGUUAUUAGAGGAGAUUCUAGGAAAAGGCCUAGGAACAUAGUUUCCUCUAACAGCAUUGUUGUUGCCAAAAUUAUUCCUACCAACAAAGUUAACGUCCAAGCUAGCGUUACUACUAUCAAUCAAGGAAGACAAGGGCAUAUCAUUAGGAUCUAAAGGAGCACUUCUACUAGCAACCAAAUUCAUUAACUCUUCCAUCUUAGCACUCAACGAGUUAAUUUCUUCUAUAGCGUUUACUUUCUUACUAGUAGGUGACCUUUCAGUGUGCCACUGAGAGUAGUUCGUCAUGAUAUUGUCUAUGAGUUUCGUGGCUUCUCCUAACGUGAUUUCCAUGAACGUUCCACCUGAGGCGGAGUCCAAGAUAUUUCUAGAAGCGAAAUUCAAGCCAGCGUAAAAGAUUUGUAUAAUCAUCCAAAGACUCAAGCCAUGAGCGGGACAAUUUCUAAUCAUCAAUUUCAUUCUCUCCCAAGAUUGUGCAACAUGUUCAUGAUCAAGUUGCUUAAAAUUCAUGAUAUCAUUACGGAGAGAGAUAAUCUUAGCCGGGAGAAAAUACUUGGAAAUAUAAGCAUGUUUGCACUUAUCCCAAGAAUCGAUACUAUUUUUGUGCAAAGACGAAAACCAAGUUUUUGCUCGAUCUGGCAACGAGAAAGGAAAAAGAUUCAAUUUAAUCACAUCAUUAUCCAUAUCUUUCUUCUUUUGCAUAUCGCAAAGCUCUAUGAAGGUAUUAAGAUGGGAUGCAACAUCUUCACUAGGAAGGCCGGAAAAUUGCUCUUUCAUAACAAGAUUCAGCAAAGCGGCAUUGAUUUCGUAUGACUCCGCACUAGUGGCGGGNNNNNNNNNNNNNNNNNNNNNNNNNNNNNNNNNNNNNNNNNNNNNNNNNNNNNNNNNNNNNNNNNNNNNNNNNNNNNNNNNNNNNNNNNNNNNNNNNNNNNNNNNNNNNNNNNNNNNNNNNNNNNNNNNNNNNNNNNNNNNNNNNNNNNNNNNNNNNNNNNNNNNNNNNNNNNNNNNNNNNNNNUUCGAGAAGUCACAAAGUUUGGUGUUUUAAGUCAUGGUGACUUCGACAAGCAAGCAAGCACACAAGAGAACAAAGAGAAAGUGAGAAAAAGGGCGAACGAAAAGGAAAACGAAAAAGGCAAAUUGGUGAAGUGGGGGAGAGGAAAACGAGAUGCAACUAGCAAACAAAGUAAAUGAAAGAGAUGAUUUUGCGACACUUACUUGGAUGAGUUCUUGAAUUAAUCCUCCCCGGCAACGGCGCCAGAAAUUCUUCUCCUACGGCAACAGAGAUCUUCUGUCGUCUCUUGAGCUUGCGUUGGUUUUUCCCUUGAAGAGGAAAGGGCGAUGCAGCACAGGAGCAGUAAGUAUUUCCCUUAGUUUGAGAACAAAGGUAUCAAUCCAGUAGGAGAAUCUCGUCAAGUCCAGAGUACCUGCACAAACACAAAAGAGGUUGCGCCCAACGCUAAAAGGGGUUUUCAAUCCCUUCAAGAUUGAUUGCGAAGUGAGAUCUGAAGGCGGAAAGUGCAACAAAGAAAAAGAGUAAGGCUGAAAAUAUGGUGUGGAGUAGACCCGGGGGCCAUAGUGUUCACUAGAGGCUUCUCUCAAAAUAGCAAAUAUUACGGUGGGUGAACNNNNNNNNNNNNNNNNNNNNNNNNNNNNNNNNNNNNNNNNNNNNNNNNNNNNNNNNNNNNNNNNNNNNNNNNNNNNNNNNNNNNNNNNNNNNNNNNNNNNNNNNNNNNNNNNNNNNNNNNNNNNNNNNNNNNNNNNNNNNNNNNNNNNNNNNNNNNNNNNAGCAAUUGAUAGAACCGAGCAAAGUCAUGACGAUAUCUAAGGCAAUGAUCAUACAUAUAUGUGCUACUUCUCAAACAACAUCGCCAGAAAUUGACACGUUGACGGAGAUUGUGCUUGCGUUGGUUUUUCCCUUGAAGAGGAAAGGGUGAUGCAGCACAGGAGCAGUAAGUAUGUCCCUCAGUUUGAGAACCAAGGUAUCGAUCCAGAAGGAGAGUCUCAUCAAGUCCAGAGUACAUGCGCAAACACAAACAAGCUUGCACCCAAUGCUUCAAAGGGAUUGUCAAUCCCUUCAAGAUUGUUUUAUAAAGUGAGAUUUGAAGGCGGAAAGUGCAAUGAAGUAAAUAGUGUAAGGCUGAAAAUAUGGUGUGCAAUAGACCCUGGGGGCCAUAGUGUUCACUAGAGGCUUCUCUAAAAAUAGCAAGUAUUACGGUGGGUGAACNNNNNNNNNNNNNNNNNNNNNNNNNNNNNNNNNNNNNNNNNNNNNNNNNNNNNNNNNNNNNNNNNNNNNNNNNNNNNNNNNNNNNNNNNNNNNNNNNNNNNNNNNNNNNNNNNNNNNNNNNNNNNNNNNNNNNNNNNNNNNNNNNNNNNNNNNNNNNNNNNNNNNNNNNNNNNNNNNNNNNNNNNNNNNNNNNNNNNNNNNNNNNNNNNNNNNNNNNNNNNNNNNNNNNNNNNNNNNNNNNNNNNNNNNNNNNNNNNNNNNNNNNNNNNNNNNNNNNNNNNNNNNNNNNNNNNNNNNNNNNNNNNNNCAUGACGAACAGAGUAAUGCUUUAAGCAAGAUGACAUGAUGUAGAGGCAUAAUCUCAAACCAAUGAUGAAAACCCCAUCUUUUUUCCCUUGAUGGCAACAACAUGAUACAUGCCUUGCUACCCCUUCUGUCACUGGGUGAGGUCACCGCACGGUAUGAACCCAAAACCAAGCACUUCUCCCAUUGCAAGAAUCAUAGAUCUAGUAGGCUAAACAAAUCCACAACUCGAAGAGAANNNNNNNNNNNNNNNNNNNNNNNNNNNNNNNNNNNNNNNNNNNNNNNNNNNNNNNNNNNNNNNNNNNNNNNNNNNNNNNNNNNNNNNNNNNNNNNNNNNNNNNNNNNNNNNNNNNNNNNNNNNNNNNNNNNNNNNNNNNNNNNNNNNNNNNNNNNNNNNNNNNNNNNNNNNNNNNNNNNNNNNNNNNNNNNNNNNNNNNNNNNNNNNNNNNNNNNNNNNNNNNNNNNNNNNNNNNNNCUCGACAAACACACCGCAAAAUAAGAUUACAUUGGAUAGAUCUCCAUGAAGAUCAAGGAAAACUUUGUAUUGAAGAUCCAAGAGACAGAAGAAGCCAUCUACUUACUAGCUAUGGACCCGUAGGUCUAUGGUGAACUACUCACGCAUCAUGGGAGAGGUCAUGGUGUUGAUGGAGAAGCCUUCCGUGUCCGAAUCCCCCCUCCAGCAGGGCACCAGGACGUGCCCCAGAUGGGAUCUUGCGGAGACAGAAGCUUGCGACGGCAAAAAAGUGAUUGCGAUCGCCUCUGAUUUUUUGGGAAUAUUUGGGAAUUUUUAGGCGCAAGAUCUAGGUCAGGGGACCUCCAGGGGGCCCACAAGCCCGCAUGGCGCGACCCCCUGGCUACGGGGUGGGGCUUGUGGGGCCCCUGGGGCUCUUCUGGCUUGGCCCCCAAGCUCUUCGAUCUUCUUCCGUACCAGAAAAAAUCUUUUCAGGGAUUUUCUUCCGUUUGGACUCCGUUUCAAAAACUCCUCUGAAAGGGGUCAAAAACGUGGAAAAAACAGGAACUGACACUUGGCACUGAGUUAAUAAGUUAGUCCCAGAAAAUAAAUAAAAGGCAUGCAAAAAAUCCAAAGUUUGACAAGAUAAUAGUAUGAAACCAUCAAAAAUUAUAGAUAAGUUGGAGACGUAUCAAGCAUCCCCAAGUUUAACUCCUGCUCGUCCUCGAGUAGGGAAGUGAAAAGAAUGAAUUUUUGAUGUGGAAUGCUAGCUAGCAUAGUUGUCCUUUGCAACUUCUUUCACGUGGCAUGAAUAUUCAGAUCCGUAUGAUUCAAAACAAUAGUUUGCUAUUGACAUGAAAACAAUAAUAUUUCAAGCAAACUAGCAAAGUAAUCAUGAACUUUCAAAAUAACAAGGCCAAAGAAAGUUAUCCCUACAAAAUCAUAUAGUCUGGCUAUGCUCCAUCAUCCUCACACAACUAAUGUAAAUCAUGCACAACCCCGGAAUUGGCCAAGUAAUUGUUUUCGCACUCUUACUUUCUCAAACUUUUUAUAACUAUCACGCAAUACAUGAGCGCGAGCCAUGGAUAUAGCACUAUAGGUGGAAUAGAGUGUGGUGGUGGUUGUGAGACAAAAAGGAGGAGAUGGUCACAUUGACUCGGCGUAUCAAUAGGCUGUGGAGAUGCCCAUUAAUAGAUAUCAAUGUGAAUGAGUAGGGAUUGCCAUACAAGAGAUGCACUAGACCUAUAAGUAUGUGAAAGCUCAAGAGGAAAACUAGUGGGUGUGCAUCCAACUUGCUUGCUCACGAAGACCUAGGGCAAUUUUGAGGAAGCCCAUCAUUGGAAUAUACAAGCCAAGUUAUAUAAUGAAGAUUCCCACUAGUGUAUGGUACUGACAAAGCAAGAAGCUCUCAAUCAUGAAGAACAUGAUGCUAACAUGAAGCACAAGUGUGGAAAAAGAUAGUAGCAUUGUCCCUUCUCUCUUUUCUCUCAUUUCUUUUUUUUAUUAUUUGGGCUCUUAGGCCCCUUUUUUUUAUUUUCUCUCUUUUUUUGUUUUUGGGCUCUUUGGCCUCUUUUUUUAUUUUUUUAUUUCCUCACAUGGGACAAUGCUCUAAUAAUAAUGAUCAUCACGCUUUUUAGUUACUCAAAGCUCAAAGAUCACAAUGAUGAUGACUCCAUAGGAAAUGCCUCCGGUAGUGUACCGGGAUGUGCAACGAUCUAGUAUGAUCAUGCAAUGGCAAUAUGAGAGUGACGACACAAGUCAUGAGACAGAACGGUGGGAGUUGCAUGGCAAUAUAUCUCGGAAUGGCUAUGAAAAUGCCAUAGUAGGUAGGUAUGGUGGCUGUUUUGAGGAAGGCAUAUGGUGGGUUUGUGCACCGGCGAGAAUUGCGCGGUACUAGAGAGGAUUGCAAUGGUGGAAGGUGAAAAUGCAUCUAUACCAUGGACUCACAUUAGUCAUGAAGAACUCACAUACUUGUUGCAAAAGUUUUUAUUAGUAAUCGAAACAAAGUGCUAAACGCAUACUCGGAGGGGAAGGGUUGGUAGGUGUUAACCAUCGCGCGAUACCGACCUCAACACAAAGGAUGACAAUCAAUAGAUCAAUUAUGCUCCGACUUCCUAACAUAGCGGUUCUCCAUACGUGCAUGCUACGGGAUUCACUAACUCCAACGCAAGUAUCUCUAGGUUCACAACACCCUACUAACAUAACUUUUAAUAUUACCAAAUCCACGUCUCAAAACUAAUUGAGAGCAAUCAAAACUUCUCUUUCUACUCAAUGCACAUCAAGAUGGAGGUUUUUGCAUCCUCUUUGGGUACCUAGCACAUGGGACUAGUUUCAUAGCAUAAGCCAACUACCAAAUCACGCACCGCCUUGCUCUAAAGAUAUAAGUGAAGCACGAGAUCAAAAGUAUCUAGCUCAAAAGAUAUAAGUGAAGCACAAGAACAAAAGUAUCUAGCUCAAAAGAUAUAAGUGAAGCACAAUAAGCAUUCUAGCAAAAUCACGAUGAGUGCAUGUCUCUCUCUCUCAAAAAGGUGUGCAGCAAGGAUGAUUGUGACACAACAAAAAGAAAAGACUCCUAAGAUACAAGAUGCUCCAAGCAAAACACAUAUCAUGUGGUGAAUAAAAAUAUAGCUCCAAGUAAUGUUACCGAUGGAUUGGAGAUGAAAGAGGGGAUGCCUUCCCGGGGCAUCCCCAAGCUUAGGAUUUUUGGUGUCCUUGAAUUUGGCUUGGGGGGCCUUGGGCAUCCCCAAGCUUGAGCUCUUUCCACUCCUUAUCUCUUUUUCCAUGAGAAUGUCACCCAAAACUUGAAAACUUCACAACACAAAACUUAAACAGAAACUUGUGAUAACAUUAGUACAAGAAAACAAACUACCACUUCUUUUGGUACUGUAGAAAACUUGAAUUCCAUCUAUAUUGAUGAUGGGCUACUGUAUUCUCACCUUCCCAUGGCUAGUACCCCCCGAUACUAACCAUAGUUUCAUCAAAACAAGCAACCAACUCAACAAAAACAGAAUCUGUCAAAAAUAGACCAGUCUGUAGCAAUCUGUAUACUUCGUAUACUUCUCGUAUGUCAAAAAAUCUGAACAAUUACGACGGUCUGGGGAAAAAGCAUAUCCAUCAGCAGACAUAAGAAUCAACUCAAAAGCUUUUUCUUAAUAAAAACGAAAAAUCAUCUCGUGAGCGAAAAGUUUCUGUCUUUUUCCAGCAGGAUCAGACAACCAUUACCAAGACCAAUCAUAAAGGUUUUGCUUGGCUCAAACACAAAAAACAUAAUCACAACAGAAUUGUGGAAGUGUGGACGCAACAAAACAGAAAGAAAAAGAUAAAUUCAUUGGGUUGCCUCCCAACAAGCGCUAUUGUUUAAUGCCCUUAGCUAGGCAUAGUAGCGAUAGAAUCACGUAUCGUCGUCUUUGGUGCUCAAACCAUAAGUAGCCCUCAUCAUGGAUUCAUAAGGCAAUCUUAUUUUCCUUCAAGGAAAGUGUUCCAUGCCCUUCCUUAAAGGAAAUUGAAAUCUAAUAUUCCCUUCCUUCAUAUCAAUGAUAGCACCGAUAAUCCUUAGGAAAGGUCUACCAAGAAUAAUAGGGCAUGUAGGAUUGCAAUCAAUGUCAAGCACAAUGAAAUCCAUGGGUACAAAGUUCCUAUUUGCAAUAAUAAGAACAUCAUUGAUCCUUCCCAUGGGUUUCUUGAUUGUAGAAUCAGCAACAUGCAAAUUAAGAGAACACUCUUCAAUCUCAUUAAAACCCAGAAUAUCACAUAAAGACUUUGGAAUCGUAGAAACACUAGCACCGAAAUCACACAAAGCAUUGCACUCAUAGUUUUUGAUUUUGAUUUUGAUGGUAGGUUCCCACUCACCAUGAAACUUUCUAGGGAUAGAGACUUCCAAUUCAAGUUUCUCUUCAAGAGCUUUUAUCAUAGCUUUGACGAUAUGAUUGGUAAAGGCUUUGUUUUGGCUAUAAGCGUGUGGAGAGUUAAACAUGGAUUGCAUCAAAGAAAUGCAUUCAAUCAAGGAGCAACUAUCAUAAUUUAAUUCCUUGAAAUCCACAGUAGUAAUUUCAUUACUACUCAAAGUUUUAACGUCUUCUACUCCACUUUUAAUGCUUUUAGUAUCAAGAUAGAUGGACUCCGAAUCAUUGGGGNNNNNNNNNNNNNNNNNNNNNNNNNNNNNNNNNNNNNNNNNNNNNNNNNNNNNNNNNNNNNNNNNNNNNNNNNNNNNNNNNNNNNNNNNNNNNNNNNNNNNNNNNNNNNNNNNNNNNNNNNNACUCCGAAUCAUUGGGGCACUUUUCAACCAAAGUGGAUUCAUAUCCAGACCCAUAAUCAUUAGGUUUGACACAAGAAAACAAAGAUUCAAUGGGAGUCACACCAAGCACUUUAAGAUCUUCGUGAUUCUCAUCACGAGAACACGCCUUUUUGAGGCAUUCAUGUCUAGCACGAAUUUGGGCGGUUCUUUCUUAGCUCUUAAUCAUGGAAACACGCAUAGCUUUCAAAGUUUCAUCCAUGUUGAUUUUGGGAGGAGCACAUCUAACUUUCAAAGCAUCAACAUCACAAGAAAUCCUAUCAACGCUCUUAGCCAAAUCGUCAAUUUUGAGUAGUUUUUUAUCUAUGGACGCAUUGAAAAUCUUUUGAGAGUUGAUGAACUCUUUGAUAUUACUCUCUAAAUCAGAGGGUAAUNNNNNNNNNNNNNNNNNNNNNNNNNNNNNNNNNNNNNNNNNNNNNNNNNNNNNNNNNNNNNNNNNNNNNNNNNNNNNNNNNNNNNNNNNNNNNNNNNNNNNNNNNNNNNNNNNNNNNNUUUGAUAUUACUCUCUAGAUAAGAGGGUAAUCUAUUGUAAUUUUCAUGGGUAUUGUUGUAGGAGUUGCCAAAGUUAUUAGAGGAGUUACUAGGAAAAGGCCUAGGAACAUAGUUUCCUCUAAAAGUGUUGUUGUUGCCAAAGUUAUUCCUACCAACAAAAUUAACGUCCAAGCUAGCGUUGCUACUCUCAAUCAAAGGAGACAAAGGCAAAUCAUUAGGAUCCAAAGGAGAACUUCUACUAGCAACCAAAUUCAUUAACUCAUCCAUCUUAGCACUCAACGAGUUAAUUUCUUCUAUAGCGUGUACCUUUUUACUAGUAGGUGACCUUUCAGUGUGCCACUAAGAGUAGUUCAUCAUGAUGUUGUCUAAGAGAUUUGUGGCUUCUCCUAACGUGAUUUCCAUGAACGUUCUACCUGAGGCGGAGUCCAAGAUAUUUCUAGAAGCGAAAUUCAAGCCAGCAUAAAAGAUUUGAAUAAUCAUCCAAAGACUCAAGCCAUGAGCGGGACAAUUUCUAAUCAUUAAUUUCAUUCUCUCCCAAGCUUGUGCAACAUGUUCAUGAUCAAGUUGCUUGAAAUUCAUGAUAUCAUUAUGGAGAGAGAUGAUCUUAACUGGCGGAAAAUACUUGGAUAUAUAAGCAUCUUUGCACUUAUCCCAAGAAUCGAUACUAUUUUUUGGCGAAGAAGAAAACCAACUUUUUGCGCGAUCUCGCAACGAGAAAGGAAAAAAGCUUCAAUUUAAUAACGUCAUUGUUCACAUCUCUUUUCUUUUGCAUAUCGCAAAGCUCAAUGAAGGUAUUGAGAUGGGAUGCGGCAUCUUCACUAGGAAGGCUAGAUAAUUGCUCUUUUAUAACAAGAUUCAGCAAAGCGGCAUUGAUUUCGUAUGACUCCACACUAGUGGCGGGAGCAAUCGGAGUACUAAUAAAAUCAUUAUUAUUAGUAUUCGAGAAGUCACAAAGCUUGGUGUUUUCGUUCAUGGUGACUUCAGCAAGCAAGCAAGCACACGAGCAAACAAAAAGCGGGCGAGAAAAAGGGCGAACGAAAAGGCGAACGAAAAAGGCAAAUUGGUGAAGUGGGGGAGAGGAAAACGAGAGGCAACUGGCAAACAAAGUAAAUGCAAUAGAUGAGUUUGCGACACUUACUUGGAUGAGUUCUUGACUUGAUCUUCCUCCCCGGCAACGGCGCCAGAAAUCCUUCUGCUACUUCUCAAACAACAGCGUCAGAAAUUGACACGUUGACGGAGAUUGGACUUGUGUUGUUUUUUCCCUUGAAGAGGAAAGGGCGAUGCAACACAGGAGCAGUAAGUAUUUCCCUCAGUUUGAGAACCAAGGUAUCGAUCCUGAAGGAGGGUCUCGUCAAGUCCAGAGUACAUGCGCAAACACAAACAAGCUUGCACCCAACGCUUCAAAGGGGUUGUCAAUCCCUUCAAAAUUGUUUGCAAAGUGAGAUCUGAAGGCGGAAAGUGCAACAAAGUAAAAAGUGUAAGGCUGAAAAUAUGGUGUGGAGUAGACCCUGGGGGCCAUAGUGUUCACUAGAGGCUUCUCUCAAAAUAGCAAGUAUUACGGUGGGUGAACAAAUUACUAUCGAGCAAUUGAUAGAACCGCGCAGAGUCAUGACGAUAUCUAGGCAAUGAUCUAGCAUAUAGGCAUCACGUCCGAGACAAGUAGACCGAUACUUUCUCCAUCUACUACUAUUACUNNNNNNNNNNNNNNNNNNNNNNNNNNNNNNNNNNNNNNNNNNNNNNNNNNNNNNNNNNNNNNNNNNNNNNNNNNNNNNNNNNNNNNNNNNNNNNNNNNNNNNNNNNNNNNNNNNNNNNNNNNNNNNNNNNNNNNNNNNNNNNNNNNNNNNNNNNNNNNNNNNNNNNNNNNNNNNNNNNNNNNNNNNNNNNNNNNNNNNNNNNNNNNNNNNNNNNNNNNNNNNNNNNNNNNNNNNNNNNNNNNNNNNNNNNNNNNNNNNNNNNNNNNNNNNNNNNNNNNNNNNNNNNNNNNNNNNNNNNNNNNNNNNNNNNNNNNNNNNNNNNNNNNNNNNNNNNNNNNNNNNNNNNNNNNNNNNNNNNNNNNNNNNNNNNNNNNNNNNNNNNNNNNNNNNNNNNNNNNNNNNNNNNNNNNNNNNNNNNNNNNNNNNNNNNNNNNNNNNNNNNNNNNNNNNNNNNNNNNNNNNNNNNNNNNNNNNNNNNNNNNNNNNNNNNNNAUCUCGACAAACACACCAUAAAAGAAGAUCACAUCAGAUAGAUCUCCAUGAAGAUCAUGGAGAACUUUGUAUUGAAGAUCCAAGAGAGAGAAGAAGCCAUCUANNUACUAGCUAUGGACCCGUAGGUCUAUGGUGAACUACUCACGCAUCAUCAGAGAGGUCAUGGUGUUGAUGGAGAAGCCUUCCGUGUCUGAAUCCCCCCUUCGGCAGGGCACCAGGACCUGCCCCAGAUGGGAUCUUGCAGAGACAGAAGCUUGCGGCGGCAGAAAAGUGAUUGCGAUCGCCUCUGAUUUUUUGGGAAUAUUUGGGAAUUUGUAGGCGCAAGAUCUAGGUCAGGGGACCUCCAGGGGGCCCACAAGCCUGCAUGGCGCGCCCCCUGGCCGCGGGGUGGGGGCUUGUGGGGCCUCUGGGGCUCUUCUGGCUUGCCCCCAAGUUCUCCGAUCUUCUUCCGUUCCAGAAAAAAUCUUUUUUGGGAUUUCUUCCGUUUGGACUCCGUUUCAAAAUCUCCUUUGAAAGGGGUCAAAAACAUGGAAAAAACAGGAACUGACACUUGGCACUGAGUUAAUAAGCUAGUCCAAGAAAAUAAAUAGAAGGCAUGCAAAACAUCCAAAGUUUGAGAAGAUAAUAGCAUGAAACCAUAAAAAGUUAUAGAUACGUUGGAGACGUAUCAAUAUGCAUCACGUUCGAGACAAGUAGACCGAUACUUUCUGUAUCUACUACUACUACUCCACACAUCGAUCGCCAUCCAGCAUGCAUCUAGUGUAUUNNNNNNNNNNNNNNNNNNNNNNNNNNNNNNNNNNNNNNNNNNNNNNNNNNNNNNNNNNNNNNNNNNNNNNNNNNNNNNNNNNNNNNNNNNNNNNNNNNNNNNNNNNNNNNNNNNNNNNNNNNNNNNNNNNNNNNNNNNNNNNNNNNNNNNNNNNNNNNNNNNNNNNNGAGUAACGCCUUAAGCAAGAUGACAUGAUGUAGAGGGAUAAACUCAGACCAACGAUGAAAACCCCAUCUUUUUACCCUUGCUGGCAACAACACGAUACGUGCCUCGCUACCCCUUCUGUCACUGUGUGAGGUCACCGCACGGUAUGAACCCAAAACCAAGCACUUCUCCCAUUGCAAGAAUCAUAGAUCUUGUUGGCCAAACAAAACCCACAACUCGAAGAGAAUUACAAGGGUAUGAAAUCAUGCAUAAGAGAGAUCAGAAGAAACUCAAAUAAGAUCCAUAGAUAAGCUGAUCAUAAAUCCACAAUUCAUCGGAUCUCGACAAACACACCGCAAAAGAAGAUUACAUCGGAUAGAUNUAGUCCCAAAAAAUAUAAAAGGCAUACAAAACAUCCAAAGUUUGACAAGAUAAUAGCAUGAAACCAUCAAAAAUUAUAGAUACGUUGGAGACGUAUCAUAGAACAACUGCUAGCUAAUUGUUAUGGAGGAGAUGGAACCGAACAUCCGGAUAUGCACUUGAUAUAUGUGGAUGAAAUUUGUGGAUUGUUUAAGCUUGCAGGUUUACCCGAAGAUGAAGCUAAGAAGAAGGUUUUCCCUUUAUCUUUGAAGGGAAAAGCAUUGACAUGGUAUAGGCUAUGCGAUGAUAUUGCAUCUUGGAACUGGAAUCAGUUGAAAUUGGAAUUCCAUCAAUUUUUUUAUCCUAUGCAUCUAGUUCAUCGUGAUUGGAAUUAUAUAUAUAAUUUUUUCCCUCGUGAAGGAGAAAGUAUCGCUCUAGCUUGGGGGAGGCUUAAGUCAAUGUUAUACUUGGAUUUAUUGUAAUGAUCAAUCCAUGCUCGAAACUUCUUGUAAUGGUUCUUUUAUGAAGAAGACUAUGGAAUUCCGGUGGGAUCUUUUAGAAAUAAUUAAACGCAACUCUGAAGAUUCGGAAGUCGACGAAGGUAAAGAGUCAGGUAUUGAACCUAAGUUUGAUUGUGUUAAAUCUUUUAUGAAUACCGAUGCUUUUCAAAAGUUUAGCACUAAAUAUGGACUUGACUCUGAGAUAGAGCUUCCUUUUGUGAAUCUUUUGCUACUCAUGUUGAUCUCCCUAAGGAGAAGUGGUUUAAAUAUCACCCACCUAUUAAAGAAGAAAUUAAAGAACCGGUAAAAGCUAAAGAAGAAACUAUCAUUUACAAUGUUGAUCCAGUUUGUUCCCACUGCUUAUAUUGAAAAGACACCUUUCCGUGUUAGGAUGAAGGAACAUACUAAAGCUUCAACUGUGGUUAACAAAAAGUAUGUUAGAACACCCAAACCAGCUGAAAAAUCAGAGUUGAACCUAGUGUUGCUAUGAUUAAAGAUAUCUUGGUCGAUAAUAUCGAUGGGCAUGUUAUUUACUUCUGUGAUGAAGCUUCUAGAAUUGCCAAACCGGAUAAAAAAGAUAAACACAGACCAGUUGUUGGCAUGCCUGUUGUCUCAAUUAAGAUAGGGGAUCACUGUUAUCGUGGGUUAUGUGACCUAGGUGCUAGUGUGAGUGUUAUUCCUUUUUUCCUUAUAUGAAGAAAUUAAGAAUGAAAUAGAACCUGUGAAAUAGAAGACAUAGAUGUUACUAUUAAACUUGCCAAUAGAGAUACUAUAUCACCAAUUGGGAUCCUCAAAGAUGUUGAAGCCUUGUGUGGGAAGAUAAAAUAACAUACUGAUUUUCUUGUUCUUGGCUCCCCACAAGAUGACUUUUGACCCAUUAUCUUUGGUAGACCUUUCUUGAACACCGUCAAUGCCAAAAUAGAUUGUAAGAAACAAACUGUCGGUGUUAGCUUUGGUGAUGAAUCUCAUGAAUUUAACUUUUCCAAGUUUAGAAGACAACCACAUAAGAAAGAUUUGCCUAGUAAGGUUGAAAUUAUCGGUCUUGCUUCUGUUGCUGUACUUCCUACUAAUCCUUUAGAAAAAUAUUUGCUAGACCAUGAAAAUGAUUUGCAUAUGCGUGAAAGAAAUGAAAUAGAUAGAAUCUUUUUCGAACAACAACCUCUGCUUAGACACAAUUUGCCUAUUGAAACUCUAGGAGGCCCCCUCCACCUAAAGGCGAUCAUGUGUUUGAAUUAGAACAAUUGUUAGACACUUUGAAAUAUGCCUAUCUUGAUGAGAAAAAGAUAUAUCCUGUUAUUAUUAGUGCUAACCUUUCAGAACAUGAAGAAGAAAGAUUAUUGAAAGUUCUAAGGAAACACUGAGCUGCUAUUGGAUAUACUCUUGAUGAUCUUAAGGGCAUUAGUCCCACUCUAUGUCAGCACAAGAUUAAUAUGGAACCUGAUGCUAAACCCGUUGUUGAUCACCAACGACGAUUAAAUCCGAAGAUGAAAGAAGUGGUAAGAAUGGAAAUACUGAAACUUCUGGAAGCAGGUAUAAUCUAUCCUAUAGCUGAUAGUAGAUGGGUAAGUCCUGUUCAUUGUGUUCCUCAGAAGGGAGGUAUUACUAUUUUUCCUAAUGAUAAGAAUGAACUUAUUCCACAAAGAAUUGUCACACGCUAUAGAAUGGUAAUUGAUUUUAGAAAAUUAAAAAAGCGACUAGAAUAGAUCAUUACCCUGUGUCUUUUAUUGAUCAAAUGUUAGAAAGACUAUCUAAGCACAUACAUUUUUGCUUUCUUGAUGGAUAUUCUGGUUUUUCACAAAUACCUGUUUCACAACCUAAUCAAGAAAAUACCACUUUUACUUGUCCUUUUGGAACCUAUGCUUAUAGACGUAUGCCUUUUGGUUUAUGUAAUGCACUUGCUACCUUUCAAAGAUGUAUGACUGCUAUACUCUCUGAUUUCUAAGAAAAGAUUGUUGAGGUUUUCUUGGAUGACUUUUCUAUUUAUGGGAAGUCUUUUGAUGAUUGUUUAAGCAAUCUUGAUCGAGUUUUGCAGAGAUAUGAACAAACAAAUCUUGUCUUGAAUUGGGAGAAGUGCCACUUUAUGGUUAACGAAGGUAUUGUUUUGGGCCAUAAAUUUUCUGAAAGAGGCAUUGAGGCGGACAAAGCCAAGGUUGAUGCAAUUGAGAAAAUUCCAUGUCCUAUAGAUAUCAAAGGUAUUCGUAGUUUCCUUGGUCAUGCUGGUUUCUAUAGGAGGUUUAUCAAACAAUUUUCUAAAAUUUCUAGGCCUCUUACAAAUCUUUUGCAAAAUGAUAUUCCUUUUGUGUUUGAUGAUGAUUGUUUGGAAGCCUUCGAAACACUAAAGAAAGCCUUAAUUACUGCACCUGUUGUUCAACCACCUAAUUGGAACUUGCCUUUUGAUAUUAUAUGUGAUGCUAGUGAUUAUGCUGUUGGUGCUGUUAUAGGACAAAGAGUUGAUAAGAAAUUGAAUGUUAUCCAUUAUGCUAGUAAAACUCUGGACAGUGCUCCAUGAAAUUAUGGUACUACUGAAAAAGAAUUCUUAGCAGUAGUGUUCGCUUGUGAUAAAUUCAGAUGUUACAUUGUUGAUUCUAAAGUUAUUGUUCACACCGAUCAUGCUGCUAUUAAAUAUCUUAUGGAAAAGAAAGAUGCUAAACCUAGACUCAUUAUGUGGGUUCUUCUGUUACAAGAAUUUGAUUUGCAUAUCACUGAUAGGAAAGGAGCAGAGAACCCCGUAGCUGAUAACUUGUCUAGGCUUGAAAAUAUUCUUGAUGACCCACAACCUAUUAAUGAUAGCUUUCCUGAUGAACAAUUAGGUGCAAUAAAUGUUACUAAUAGUACACCUUGGUAUGAUGAUUAUGCUAAUUAUAUUGUUACUAAAUACAUACCACCUAGCUUCACAUACCAACAAAAGAAAAAUUCUUCUAUGAUUUAAGACAUUAAUUUUGGGAUGACCCACAUAUUUAUAAAGGAGUAGAUGGCAUUAUUAGACGUUGUGGACCUGAGCAUGAACAUGAACAAAUCCUACGGAAAUGUCACUCCGAAGCUUAUGGAGGGCAUCACGCGGGAGACAGAACCACUCAUAAGGUAUUGCAAUCUGGUUUUUAUUGGCCUACUCUCUUCAAGGAUGCCCGUAAGUUUGUCUCAUCCUGUGAUGAAUGUCAAAGAAUAGGUAAUAUCGGUAAGCGUCAAGAAAUACCUAUGAAUUAUUCACUUGCCGUUGAACCAUUUGAUGUUUGGGGAUUUGAUUUCAUGGGACCUUUUCCUUCCUCUAAUGGGUAUACACAUAUUGUGGUUGCUGUUGAUUAUAUUACUAAGUGGGUAGAAGCUAUUCCAACUAGUAGUGUUGAUAACAACACCUCUAUUAAAAUGCUUAAGGAAGUUAUUUUCCCAAGGUUUGGAGUCCCUAGAUAUUUAAUGACUAAUGGUGGUUCACACUUUAUUCAUGGUGCUUUCCGUAAAGUGCUUGCUAAGUAUGAUGUUAACCAUAGAAUUGCAUCACCUUAUCAUCCUCAGUCCAGUGGUCAAGUUGAACUUACCAAUAGAGAAAUAAAACUAAUCUUACAAAAGACUGUCAAUAGGUCCCAGAAGAACUGGUCUAAGAAAUUAUAUGAUGCACUUUGGGCUUAUAUAACAACUUAUAAAAAUCCUAUGGGUAUGUCUCCUUAUAAAAAGGUUUAUGGAAAAGCUUGUCAUUUGCCUCUUGAGUUGGAACAUAAAGCAUAUUGGGCAAUCAAAGAACUCAACUAUGAUUUCAAACUUGCUGGUGAAAAGAGGUUAUUUGAUAUUAGCUCAUUAGAUGAAUGGAGAACCCAAGCUUAUGAAAAUGCAAAGUUAAGAAAAAGUUAAAAGAUGGCAUGACAAAAGAAUCCAAAAGCGUGAGCUCAAAGUUGGAGAAUAUGUUCUUUUGUACAACUCUCAUUUCUGAUUCUUUGCACGAAAUCUCCUCUCCAAAUGGGAAGGACCCUAUGUUAUCAAGGAGGUCUAUCGAUCCGGAGCUAUCAAAAUAAAUAAUGACGAAGGUACUAACCCAAAGGUUGUCAAUGUACAACGAAUAAAACAUUAUAUCUCACGUACACCCAUUAAUGUUGAAAGCAAUAUUAUCCAAACUAUGACACCGGAAGAACACAUAAAAGAAACCUUCCGGAACACUCCAGAAUCGUGAAAAAAGGGAGGUACAUGAUACGGUGAGUAAACGGACUCCGAAAAUCCACAGAAAUAAUUUUUGUCAGUUUUGGAAUAUUUAAAAAAUUAGAAAAAUAAGAAACUUCCAGGAAAGUGACCCUAGUGGGCAUGAUACACCAGGGCACGCUUGGCUUGCCACGCGCGCCCCAGUGGGUUUUGCCCACCUCGGAUACUUUUCAGAGUCUGUUUUUCUUCCGUUCUACUUGUUCCCGAAGAUAAAAAAUCUUUAUAUACCCCCCGAACCUGUUGACUUCCGUAUCACGGAGAAAUCUCAUGUUUUCUUUUCUUGCUGUUUUCUGUCAGAUCCAAUCCACCAUGGCCGCUUCAAGCUCCUCCAAGGACAAGUUCUUCGACAAUGUCAUCAACCCAUAUCUGCGGGAAGUGAUGCGCGAUGGGGUGCUGCACAUCCGUGAUGUGCAAGGACCCAAGGGGACUGGAUUUGUGGAGGCCAGGCUUGAAGCUAUGGAGCAGGAAGUAUUCCGGUGCAAGGGGAUGGUAGAACAUGGGCUCAAUGCCAAUCACCUCAUGAUCGCAGAUUACACCCGUGAUCUCAAGGGGGAUGGCAAGUCCAUGAAGGACAUCAUCUUCUCCCUCAAUGAGGAAAUCAACUUCCUCCAUAGCCAGAUCCACGACCUUCAAAGCCAAGUCUUUGAAUAUGAGGCAAGGUUUAACGGUAUGAGUUUGGCUGCUAGUUGCAGGAUCUGAGAGACUCACUCUCCAUCUUAUGAUGGUGAGCCUCUGCCAUGGAAACCAAAGGACAAGAUUGCUUCUACUUCAUCAGCACCACCACCUUCUUCAUCACCAAAAUAAAAUUGAGUAUCGGGUAUGGGAACUCCCCUUGGCUUUCGCCAAGCAUGGGGGAGGUUCCCCGGUAUCGUAUUAUCUCCACUAUAUUUUGCCUUCUUUACUUUCUUGUUUCAAUAAAAAGAAAUUAAAUAAAUGAAAAAGAUCAUAUGCUAAUCUUAUGGUAAGUGAUGACAUUACACAAGGAAAAGUAUAAGUAGAAAAUUUUAUUGUAGAUUGACAAACAUACCUUUGGUCAAUGAUGCAACUCAUGAAAGAAUUAAUAAGGGAAGAGAAGAUUCACAUGCAAAUACACUAUCCUGGAAAUCUUUUGUGAUUGUGAGAACCAAUCAAAAUAUUAUAUGCCAAAAUUGUUGAUGUUGGACAAGUAAGACAACGUAAUGAAUUAUGUUUGUUCAUAUUCACAUAGAAGUUAUAUUGUCAUGGAUCCUGAAACAUGUGGUGCUUGCCCCUAUCUUUGCUAGCCAAAAACUCUGCACUAAGUAGAGAUACUACUUGUGCAUCCAAAACCCUUAAACCCAAAUCUUGUUUGAGAGUCCACCAUACCUACCGAUGGAUUGAGUAUGAUCCUUCAAGUAAGUUGUCAUCGGUGCAAAAAAGGGAAAUAAAAGUUGCUUCUAAAAGUGUAAGAUCAUUUAGUGUAAGGGAAAAUUGAGCAUUGUACAAACUUGUGAUGGUGAAGAAUAAAAGUGACAUACUGCAUAAUAAAGGUUGCCAUCACAAGGGGCAAUAUAACAUGACGUUCUCUUCCACUAAGGGGUUGAGCAUACAAACAAAAAGCGCAUGGAAACCUCUGCUUCCCUCUGUGAAAGGCCUAUAUUUUACUUUUAUGUAUUUACUUUCAUGCAAGAGUCAAAUUUUUUCUCUCUAUUCCUUUUUAUUUUGUCCUUUGGCAAGCAUCAUGUGGUGAGGAAAGAUCUAGGCACAUAUAUCCAGUUGAAUAUGGGUAGCUUGAGUUAUUAUUGUUGACAUCACCCUUGAGGUGAAUUCGUUGGGAGGCGAAACUAUAAGUCCAUAUCUUUCUAUGUGUUCGGUUGAAACGUUUUGCUCAUCUGUACGCGGUUAGUGUUAGCAAUCAUAGAAGACUAAAUGAUGGUUGAGUAUGUGGACUUGCCUAAAGGCUCCGAUAUGUGACCCUUCCUGAAAAGAUGAUGAAUUGUAGUUGCAAAGUUGACUGAGAACGUAGUUUGUUGUUUUCCAAUAGAGUUUAUGCUUUAUAUUUCGAUGUUGUGAUGAAUUGUCACUUGUUCAUGAGAAGCCUGUGAUAAAAGUUCUAUGAUAAAAGUUUUAUGUUAAAGUUUGUUGAUGUUAUAAUGAGUUACAUGAUGCUGUUAUGUCCGUAUUUUUGUUUUUAUCAACACCUCUCUCUCUCUCUAAACAUGUGGACAUGUUUCUCGAUUUUGGUUUUCGCUUGAGGACAAACGAGGUCUAAGCUUGGGGGAGUUCAUACGUCCAUUUUGCAUCAUGUUUUCCUACUAUUAUUUAUGUUGUUUUGUUGUAUAAUAAUGCUUUUUCUCUCAUAAUAUGCAAGGUAUACAGAAAGGGGGAGAAUUCUAGCAGCUGGAAAUUUGGACCUGAAAAAGCUACGUCAGGCUACCUAUACAACACAACUCCAAAUGAUCUAAAACUUUACGAGGAAUUUUUAUGGAAUAUUUGAGGAACAUUGGAGCAAAUAAGUACUAGAGGCCCCCCACCAGGUGGGCACAACCCACCUGGGCGAGCCAGGGAGCCCAGGCGUGCCCCGGUGGGUUGUGCUCACCCAAGCCCACCUCCGGUGCCCCUCUUCUGGUAUAUAAGUCAUUUUGACCUAGAAAAAAAAUGAGGAGAGGACUUUUGGGAUGAAGCGCCGCCGUCUCGAAGUAGAACUUGGGCAUGAGCACUUUUGCCCUCCGGCGGAGCGAUUCCGCCAGGGGAACUUCCCUCCGAGAGGGGGAAAUCAUCAUCAUCAUCAUCACCAACAACUCUCCCAUCUCGUGGAGGGCUAUCUUCAUUAACAUCUUCAACAACACAAACUCCUCUCAAACCCUAGUUCAACUCUUGUGUUUAAUCUUUGUACCAGAACUAUAGAUUGGUGCUUGCGAGUGACUGGUAGUGUUGAUUACAUCUUGUAGUUGAUACUAUAUGGUUUAUUUGGUGGAAGAUUAUAUGUUCAGAUCCAUUAUGCUAUUUAAUAUCCCUCUGAUCUUGAGCAUGAUUAUCAUUUGUGAGUAGUUACUUUUGUUCUUGAGGUCACGGGAGAAAUCAUGUUGCAAGUAAUCAUGUGAACUUGAUAUGUAGCGACCCGACCUGAAACGACCAAGUCUCUGGUGUUUCUGUACCAUCCCAAGAUCAUGCUUGUACACACAGUACAUCAAUGUAUAUAUCAAGAGUUCAAUCACACAACUUUAUUAAUCGGAUCUCAUAUCGAGUACUUUACAACAAUAAAGAGGCUGAAGGCCAACUCAUGAGAUAAACCUAAAUGAAGACUAGCGGAAGCUUCAAAGGUAGUAGAGUCCAUCUGACUCCAGGGCAUAUCACCGAGCGUAGAUCGUGUCCUCACUCCUGGUCGGAAAAGUACUCUCCAACAUGACACGUUGCAGCCGUGUAGGUCAGCAUAUUCAAUAUGCCGGCAAGUCACAAAAGAGAGAGGUGAAAAAGUAUGAUCUAUGCUAUAUGCAUAUAUGGCAGGUGGGGCUGUAAAUUUUUAGCGGAAAGCAAAUUUUCUCCUACAACAAGAGACGGGCUAAAAGAAAAAUUUACUACUUUGUUGGUUGUUAAUGAGAUGGUUCCACCAACCAUAUCUCAUACCCAAAUUAUCAAUAAUACCCACAUCACUAAUAUUAUUGGUGUUGAGAAUUCCAGAUAAUUUCAGUUCCUUCGACCCAAGUUGUCCAUGACCGUGGACACGACUAAUUGAUUAGGUUUGAGUACUCUAUAGAGUUUUGCACAUGCUCCCCACAAGAUUUGAUCGCCUCUGUUGGAGUCCUCGCACUUCAGGGUGUUUGAGGACCGGAUGAUCAAAACAUGGUCUUCCAACGGGUUCCUCUGAGCCACUGUCGGUGCCGAUCCAUUCCUACCGUUCUUCUACAUCUCGUAGCACCGCCCGUCCACACUCACCAUGAUGUCCAACCAAGCCAGAGCCCAUAAUUACUUGUGGCUGUGCAGGUAAGCCUCAGGUCUUGAAGUAUCCAUCCCUCUCUUCGUGCAUGGGUGAAGCUUUCCGCAAGAUGUCAAGGAAAUUCUCCAUGCAUCCUGGGUCAUCCACUGGUUACUCCAGGGUUACCAUCUAAACCAUCCUUCACCCAGUGGUGUAUUGCAUCACGAGGUCUUGAAGAGUCUUGAAAUCUUCCAGUCUUGAUUAUUAAAUUCUCACAACACUCGUGAUAAACACUCAACCAAAACCCCGUCUACUAAAAGCAUAGCAAAAUAAAAUUUAUCGUCCCGGGCCAAGUAACAAGGGUAAUGGGUGCCUACCACAUGAUACUAUAUCAAGAACCAAAUUUCCAAGUACCUAUUUUGCAUGCAAUGGGUGGAGAAGUUUAUACUAGAUGCGUAUAAAACCAUAGGUAAAACAUGAUCAACGUGACUUGCCUUGUUGGCGACUUUCGAACUCGAGCGCCUCUAGAUAACAAUCUUCGCACUCCGGAUGUUCUAAUGAGACAACAAUAUCACACAAUAAUCAUCACAACAACAAAAUAAAUUAAAACAACAAUCAAAAGUAACUAGAUCAAACGGGAGCAAAAAUAACCUACAAGAACUAAAACAGAUUCUAUUUUGUUGAAAACCCCAAGAUAAAAUCUCCUAAAAAUUCUGAAAUUAAACAUACUGAUAAAUAAGAUCACUAGUGAUCAGUAGUAAAAAGAAUCAAGUAAAAACCCAUUUUUAAACUCCAGAUAUUCACAAAACAAGGAUACAUUCCUAUCAUACUACAUCAUAAUCAUGUUGAAACUCAUGUUGGCAUCCAAGACAAACCAUUAUAAGCUCCUAGCUAAUUAAGCAUGGCAUCAGAAACUAUGAUCUCUAAGUUGUCAUUGCAAACAUGUUUCUCUCAUAACAAUGCUGAAUUAGGAACGAUGAGCUAGUCAUAUUUCCAAAAACAAAUAGGUCGAGUUCAUACCAGAUUUUCCAGGCUCAGUCACUUCAUCAUAUAUCGUCAGUAUUGCCUUUCACUUGCACGACCGAAUGAUUUGAAUAAUAAUAAGAGUGUUCGUGCAUUGGACUAAGCUGGAAUCUACAAGCAAACUCAGAGGAGAAGACAAAGUAAUAUGGCUCUUUGACGGAGAAACAAUGAUGCAUAUGAGAGCCACUAGUCAUUUUAAUCAUGGUCUUCUACCUCGACCCAAAGAAAGAGAAAACUAUUUACAUGGGAAAGCUCCAACAAGCAAAAAGAAAAAAAAGGGGAAAUCUUUUUGGGUUUUCUUUUUAAUUACCACUAAGCGAGCUGGAAAGUAAACUUACAACUAACUUUUUUUUUCUCGUUUUUAAACAAACACACGAGAAGAAAGCAAGAAAAAGAAAUAAACUAGCAUGGAUGAUACAAUGGAAAAGCGUGAACACCGACUAUCAAAGUGAAUGUGUGAGAAACGCGUACUCCUCCAAGCUUAGGCUUUUGGCCUAAGUUGGUCUACUCCCAAGGAGGGAAAUAACCGUCUCCGAGGUACUCCGGAGUAUACUGAGGGUGCCACUGCUGGGUGAGCUCCUCUGGCUUCCACUGAUAAACUGGCGUCUGGUACUCGACUGGUGGCUCGGGCAUGGGCGCCUGUGGUGGCGCUAUGCCCCAAUAUGCGUAGAUGUCCAAGGGAAUAAUAAUGUACCUGCCUAGAUGAAGGUUGAACAAAGAAGGAGCAUGCAAAGUAAUAGUCUCACGAGUACCCUGGCUAAAUACCAAGUUAUAAAUCAUCCUCUUAUCAUUAUCUUUAUCAAGAAAAUCAUGUCGAACCAUGCUAUCAUAAUCUAAAUAUCUCUCAGGAAGAAGCAUCUCUUCUUCCUCGUACAGUCUAAUAGGUAUCUCAAAAUGUUUAGCAAGACAAGUAGCAUAGAUACCUCCAUAAACAUCGCCUUUGGUACAGUUCGUGUUCAACCGUUGAGCCACUAUAGCGCCCAAACUAUAAUUUUUAUCAUUAUAAAGGGCUUCAUGCAAAACCACAAGAUCUGGGGACCUAAGAGCCCCAGCUUUCCCAGGGCCUAUCAAACAUUUUCCCAUGAAUAAUGAGAGAUACCGAAGCACGGGAAAAUGUACACUAGCAACUCUAGCGCCAGACACUCCUCUCUCCUCUCAUACAUCAAUGGUAUCAAUGAAAGCCUCCAAGUCCCGUGGACGAGGUUCAUGAAUAUCCCCAACAUAAGGUAAAUUGCAAACAUUGCAGAAAUCCUGAAGUGACAUGCGCUGGGGGAUGUCAUAUAACUUGAACUCAACCAUAGGAGGGCUCUUCCUCGAAUAAAAAUUUAAACUUUGCACAAAAGUAUUAGUGAGGAGGAGGUAUUGUGGAUACUUAUUGUCGUGGUUUUUUCACGACAGAUGUCCUCGUGAAAGGACUUAGUACUGGAGCCAUCGCACUUUGGUGGCGACUCAAAGGGGUUGAACGGGAGGGAGACGGCGAUUUACCCAAGUUCGGCCCCUCGUGAGGAGGUAAAGGCCUACGUCCUGCUUUGAGUUGUAUUGAUGGAGUUUCGAUUACAAGGAGGGCGUAACUCGCCAGACCUAGCACUCGAUGAUUUCUAACCUGCCCUCUUCUUCCCUGAGACUCGCCUUUAUAUACAGGUCGAGUCCCUAGGGUUUACAAGGGUACUUUCUGUCGGGGAUAUACCCCGCAGUGUAACCCGGCUUGGAGUAUGACCCGCCAAAGGACUUGGCGACUCAUCGGCGACUCAGCAGUGACCUGGCGGGCGACUCAUAUUUGUCCCCACAUGCGACUUAGAUAAAUGACGAAGGCCCAAGGCCCAGCGUGCACCCUGGCAUAAGGCGACUCAUAGAGAGGCCAGGAGGGCCAACUCACAAGAGAAGGCCCAAGAAGAGAAAAACUCCCACAAGAAGGAAACAAGACCCGGAUUAGGAUUCAAGAGAGACUAGUCCUAUUACUACUCCUAGUAGGACUCUACAUGUAAACCUACCUCUUCCACCUAUAUAAGGAGGGGUAAGGCACCCCAAGAGGAACAAGAUUCACAACUUAGGUCUAGACAAGACAAAUUAUGAGAUAGACAGAUUAGCCACCCACGAGAUUAGAGGUGGCGAAUCUGCACCCUUGUAAUCAAGAUCAUCAGCUCCAUCAAUGGAACACAAGCAGGACGUAGGCUUUUACUCCAUCGGAGGGGCCGAACCUGGGUAAACUCACGUCUCUCGAUUCCGACAAACCCCUUCAAGCCGCCACAUGGUUGCGAUGGCCUCACACCUAAGUUCUCUCACGAGGACAUCUACCGUGACAAAACCACGACAGUUGACGCCCACCGUGGGGCUGAUCACACGGUGGAAUUGUGUUCUGGAAGGGAUCUCUUUUAGGGAUCGAGAAGCUUAUGACCCGCCGGAUCCGUUCGAGCCGGCAUGAAAGGAUUUACAUUGUUACCAUGACGAGCAGAUUAAAGCGACAAAUACGAGAUUAGAUGCGGAGGAGUUUCGAGGGUUAUGUCGAAACAACCGCCGUUUCAUACGAGAUUGACAGAGAAUCGAUCUAAGGUGUCACCAAGCAAUGAUAUUGGCUGAUUAUUUUUCCUCCCUCGACAAGCAAGAACACAAGGGAUCUACAUCAUACGUGUUCUGAGGAAAACUAAACAAUAGAUCGAGAAAUUGUUUACGAGGUUUUGCUCGUUUUCUGGGUCGAAUCGACGUGUUGAUCGGAGGAAGGAAUUGAUAUGUCAAAACGUCACCACGUGAAGACAACCAAUCGCGAGAAGAUUAGACAAAUCACUGCGCCAAGGGCAAUCUGCUACAUAAUUAAAGCCUGGUAUUGAUAUUCUACAGCAAACACAGAUGUGGAGGUGACCCCUCCUCGGCCUCUACGGGUGCGGUCUCACUUUGAGCGAGCUCAUCAUGGCUCGCGUCGUCGUCGUGGCCGUGCCCUGAGCCGGUUCGCCUAGGUCCGCCAUCGCUUCAACCCGCCGCUGAGCCGGCUGCACCUCUGUUGUGCUUCCCGUCUGAGCCGCCAUGAGCCGCCACCGCGCAUCCUUGUUGCUCCGGUCAUGAGCCGCCAUGAGCUGCCGCCACUAACCGCCAUUGCUUCGCCCCGCUACCGAGCCGCCAUCGCCUCACCACCAUAGUGUGUAUUCCCCUGUGUCCGCGGCAGCUACCCCUCCGCGUGAAGGAAGGAAUUAAGGAAGGAAAAAUGGACUACUCCGGCGCUGGGGAGGACACCGCCGCCGCGGCCUGGUAUUGCGCCAGCCACGCUUUUUGACCAUCGACGCGCCUGCGCCCGCCGGGCCUGCACUCUGAGUUGGCCUUUGCCUCGCGAGUGCGCGUCCAAGCCGGUCCCAGCUCUGCGUCACCUCGGCCGCUGUGGCUGGCUUCGCUUCGUCCUGACUCGUUCGCCUUAGCUGCGAGGCGCGCGAACCGCCGCCCGCCGCAAGUCGCCUCAGCUAUCUCGUGUUCGAGCCGCCCUCGCCUUGCCUUGAUCCAUGCUGUCUGAACCAGUUUUAGCCAUCUUACGUCCGAGUCGCAGUCGCCUCACCUCGCUGCUGAUGCGCCUCCGCCUCGCUCCGAGUUCUCCUCGAUCUGGGACGGUGUCGCCCCGCCCUCGGAAGCGGCCUCGCCCGAGCCGCCGCUCCGGCAGCUGACUCCUUCGGCUGCAUCUUGCGCCGCCGCGCGCCGACGCCGGUUGUGCUGCGCUCCACCUGCUGCACCUCGAUUCCAUCGUGGCCGGCUCCUGCUGCGCUGGCUCUGCCGCGCCCCCGACCCGCGCACGCUCAGUCGCGCCUACUGUCGUCAUCAUUGCUUCUGCGGGGUACUUCAGAUAUACAUUUGGUGGGCAAAUACACGUCCGCUGCGGACGAACCAGCUGCUUUUUAGCCCAGCUGCCGGCCACCACCUGCCUUUCUUUUCUUCCACCAAACGUAUAAACGGCUCACCGGCGAGUCUGCCAGUCAUCUGAUGAGCCGUGAGCAGAAUUGGCAACGGCAGCAGAUGACAAUAGAGACGGUGGCCAGUCAACUAAAUCAAUCCAUGUGAAAUUCUGAAUCCCUGCUGGUAUGAGGAUUGCUGACUAUCAGUACGUACAAGAAACAAGGAAAGUUGCUAUUAGUACUAGCACAAGAGCCGACACUUGCAAGAAAAAUAAGAAGAUAUUGCUCCAUACGAAGGUUUACUCAUAGUGCUCGUGCAUGUGGGGCAUAUACCAAAGCUCCCUCUCUCAAAUUCUUAUGGGCACAAGGGGAUCACCACAGGAAACUCGUUUUCAAGCAUACGGAAUUUGCCAGCGUUCGAUACACCGCAACGGUUCUUCAUAUUGUUGCACGUAUUUUCAAUGGCCCUGCGUUUGGCUGUCUAUCAGAAGGCGUACGCACAGCACCAGGCGCGUUCAUCAUCGGGCAAGAUUAUCAUCAGGAUAAUUUGUAAACGGAAGAUCUCACCAGUGUCCGAGUGCGUUGGGCAAUAUGAUAAACGCCCAUGCUUUCCUUGUUGACCGGUCUACGUCGUCAUCACGCCCGUGUUGCGCCUACUCACUCGAGCCAUACGAUGGAUGUGUGCUAGCCACAUCCCACGACCUGGGCUAUAUUAAUAUGUCAGAAGCUAUCGGACAAUCAUCCGCGAAAAAUACCAGGUGCUAUCCACCUUAUUUAUUUUAUCAACAUAUUUUUUAUUUGUAAGAACAAUUACUUUGGACUGUGUUAUUUUUACGCAGGGCAUUUAUUCAUUGCCAAAGCGGCACGAUAUCGCUAAGAUGGAGGCGCGCCAACAUCAGAUUAAACCGGCAUUCAUCCGUGUCGCACGGUGCCAACUUACAAUGACGUGGCCAACUCUCACGACCGCGCGAUCAA